CUGAGCAGUGUUGGUUUUGAGGGUUUACUUGAGAAAGAGCAAAAUCAUUCAGGAUGAAGCUAGGCUUUGAAAAUUUGUGGGAAGCAAGACAGGCCACUUAUCUAAUCUCCUACAGAGCCUAUGGAGGGAGUGAGGGCGUAGGGAAGAAGAUGAAGUUAUACUAUGAUGUAUUUGAAGGGCAGAAGAGAUGUUUGGUCCUUUUCCUCCAUACUUGCGUUGCCUUGUUCCGUGGGGUGUUGGUUUGGAAGACUACGCCCUCUUGUAAUUUUGUGGCACACAAUAAACAAGUAUAACCGAAAUCAAUCCCAUUUCGUAGCUUGGACAUGACACAACUACACAACUAUUCCAAUUAAAACGGACAAAUGGGACGGGCGCGAGACGGUUCUUAUUAAAUUGGACAGCAAUUACCCAUAUUAGAAAAAAAAAAACAAAACAAAAACAAAAACAAAAACAAGUCACAUCCCCAAGGAUGGAACUUCAAGGGCAUAAGUUAACUAAAAUCUUGCUAUAAAGUUAGCGACACCAAUAUUUUGCUCUAAUGUCAAUGUCACACUUCAAACUGUAGCAUGACAAAUUAUUGAGGACCAAUUUACAAGAAUUGAGCUAUAAAAUUCUCAUCUUCUCUCUGCCUACUAUGUUAUUAAAAAAUAUUUUUUUUUAUGCCAAAACUAUUUGAUAAAAUAUAUUUUUAAUUAUAUAUAUAUAUAUAUAUAUAUAAAUUCAUUGCAUAUAAAAGUCCCUGUAAAGUUAGACAUUACGUACAGAAGAGUCAACUUGUGUGUCAGCCUUUAACCACGAAUGCCUCCAGUCUGUGUACAGUGUACUCUCUUCUUCUCCUCCUCCUCCUCCUCCUCCCCCGUUGGACAAUCAGACUGCCUCUGCCUCCGCCUCUUCUGGUCAUCUGCUACUCUCACCCAACGCUCCUCGUCUGCUCUGGUCCGCGCGUGCCCUGCUGUGACCUAUUUCUGUAAUUUCAUCGCCUUUCAAAGGCAAACGUUUGUAUCAGUUAAGACAGCUGUCUUGAGCACGGAGCGAGUAUGCCUCCAGUCUAAGUCUUGGGAGUGAGAUGUUGUGCUGCAGCAGUGGACCGAUACGUGUGGACAAACUAGUAACUAGUUCCUCCACCGAAUAAUACAUCGUACGAUGAAGAUACGAUCAUCUGUUGAUCUGUCGCUUGGUUUUUUUUAACCCUUGCGACCUUCUCUUUCACUUCAUUUUACACAAAAUUUCCAAUUAUUUUUUCCUUUCUUUCACAUUUUAAUUCUUUCUCGAUAGAGAAAAACAUACAAGUUAAAUCUCAAUUACAUGCAAAUACUUACUAGGUUAUUUUGAACCAUUUUCGCGACUGCAAGAAUGAGAAAUUAAAUCGUCUAAAUUUACAGCUUAUAUCACUCAUUUUUUACGUAAUGUAAUUAUAUAACUUCAGUUGGGAAAUAAAAUUUGUGAUAUUAAGCAAUUUCUAGGUUAUUUUUGUAUUAAGCUCGAUUCAACACGUAUAUUUUUCUUCUGCAAAAGAAAACUAGGAGGCUACAAGGUAGGAGCCCCUAAAACACCACCACUCUAUAAAUCCAACUGAAGGCUGACUGAACAAAAUGAGGUAUAUAGUCCGCUCAGAUAUGUUGAUGCUGGUAUUGGUGUCCCAAAUUAGUCCGAGUAUCAGCAACAAAGUUAACUUCGCGAAAGUUAAUUUCCUCAUAUAUGCACGAUAGCUAAAUAUAGAGACUCGGGAUCUCUUUAACAUGUAUAUUUGAUUCAAGCAGAUGCAAAGUUUUCCAGUUUAGUGAAAUAAUCAGAAUGCAUAUUCUUGAGUGUGUUUUUACCCAAAAAAUUUGAUAAACCACACCCACGGUCGCACAGGAUUCCCAAUCCUCUUAUCUUUAUUUAUGUCGAAGAAAAACCAAAAGCAAUAUUGCCAAAAGGGUAGAUAUAUAGUACGAUUUGAGAUCUUGAUGAUAAUCGACUCUUUUCUUUUUCUUUUUCUUUUUAAUGAUAAAAUGAUGGUGAAACCCAUAAUGGCUUAUAAAUGCAUACAAAAAGAACAAAAAAUUUAUCAUACUCAUAAUUUGCAUUAUCGUACCCACGUACUAUAUAUCAAAGGUAGGCUUACAAAGAAACAAAAAAACAACAAUAGGUUCAUGGGCAGAGAAUCAUGCUUUAAUCAAACAACAAAUGAUGGUUCCUUGACAUUGAAGUUGUUCCAUUUUUAUUUUUGUUUCUUUUUAAAUUCGUCUUUUGGGUUGCAACAAAGGGCGGGACUAGAAAUUUUCAUACUAAUGGGCUAGAAUUCUUUUUCUUUUUCUUUUUUCUUUUAAUGAGCUUUUAGGGUGUGUAGUGAAUUAAAUUUUUCUGAUAUGGAGUGGGCUAUGGUGAACUUUCUAAAAUUAGCAUUAAAUUCUUAUAUAUAUAUAUUUACACUUGCCCGGAGCCCACCUGAUCUUUGAAAAUUUUAGGGCAGCAACCUCCGUCAAAUACAAUGUAGAACUAAAAGAGAAUAUGAUCAGUGUUAGGGAGCAGGUUUUGUGAGAAGGAUUUGAUUGUGAACAUAGUUGAAAAGAGGUGAUGGAGAACUUCAAUCUGAAAUCACCAUAAGAGACGUCUUAUGUAAAACGUCCAAAUGGACUUAUUCACUAACCCAAAAGGAAAAGACGAGAAGAGAAGAGAGGAAGAAGGGGCAGUGACACAUCCUCCUCCUCUAUAUAUAGAGUUUUUCCUUUGAAACUCACAUAACAAGAGAACGACAAGGAUUUUUUUUUUUUUUUUUUGGCUACAAAAUGUGACUCAUGAACGAAUACUUUAUUACCUAGUUGAAUUAGAAAGAAAAAAAAAGGUGUAUGAUAUGAUUAUUGGGUUUUUAUGCCAAUUAUUAAAUGUUAUUUGGAUAGAAGUUACAAUUAGUUAUAAAUUUUUUUUUAUAAAAGUAACUUAUGAACUGUAAGGAGAUAAGUUGCAGAAAGAUUUUUUUCAGCGAAAGCUGCACAUAGAGGAUGCCAUAAAUAUUAAACCUGCCACAGGUCGUCUACUGCGGUGUCUAUUUAUUGAGCCCAGAAGACUUGACAGUUAUAUGGUUAGGAUAAGAGUUGGUGCCUCGAUAUAAACUAUUGGAGAAAAAUAUUUACCAUUUCUUUUUAUAUUUUCAUUAGUUUUAUUUCUUUAUUAAAUUAGCGUAAGUAUAUAAAUUUGGACCCUAUUGAAAACGUUAUAUAAAAAGAAAAAGGUAAAUUUGUCUAAAUUAGGAUUAAAAUAAGUGUGAGAUUGAGCCUAAAUUAAAGAUUAAAACGAUAUCAAAGUAUAUAAAUUUUGUCCUUUUUUUUAAUCUUCUUUUGAUUUUGAUUUUAAUCUUUUGUCCUGUCGUUUUUAUUGUCACCAUUGCCAUUGCAAUAAAAUAUCCGGACAUGUGUUGAAGACAUCGCUUUCUCUCCUCCUAAAGUGAUGAAACAUUUAUAGGUGGAGAGGGUUAAACCCAAAACAUUUAAUAUUUUUGCUCUAUAUAUCACAUGAUCGGUUUUUAUUUUUUAUUUUUUGUCAACACAUGAUCGUAUUUCAGUAUGAUAUAAUAAUUAGUUUGUUGAAACAACCAUAAACUCAUGCAUUUUGUAUUUUAAUUUGUCAACUUUCGACGUGGGAUUUUAAAUAAUUCAAAAAUAGAAUAAUAUUGUCAACUCAAAUUAAUGUUGAUAAAGCUUGACAUGUUUAUAUGAAGCAUAACAUGUAAGCUUAUUGGGAAAGAGAAUAUAUUCCCCGGUUUGCGUACAAAGUGAACCUAAUUUUAGAGGAGUUUAUAUGAAUGUGUUAUGAUUUAUUUAGAUGCGUAUGUUAAGUGUGUUUAAGUAAUGAUACAAAUUUUAUUUUAUUUUUCAAAAGAUAAAACUUGAGUGAGGUCGCUUUCAAUAAUCAAGAAACAAAUUUCAAGCCUCUUCAAAACAAAACCAAAUCAAACUAUAUACGAAAAUUUUAAUUAUAUAUAUUAAAAUAUAAAAAAUAUAAAAAAAGGUCGAAGGAAGGGAGUAGAUAGAGAAAAUGGUGAUAAAAGGCUAUGAUGAUCCUCUCUGCUCCAAACUGAUGAAAACUCGACACGGCAAAACAGAUAGUGGGCCCCACAUUUAAUUACCAUAACCGUGUUACAGAGAGAGAGAGAGAGAGAGAGAGAGAGAGAGGCAUGGCCAUUACCCACAAGGACACAAAAGUCACCAACAGCACAGCCAAGCCACAGCGUAUGAGGAGAAAGAGUUUCCCUUCACAAUUCCUCCACAGUCCUAACUAGUUGGACACAGACACAGAAUUUCAUUGCCUUGUUGCAAUAAUAAUUAGGGUGAGGCUGGACAAAAUGGUAAUUUUGAGAAAGAGAAACUGAUCCACUAAUCAAGUCCCUCUGCAAAAGCCGCCUCAUUACUCUCUUUCACUUGCUCCUCCUCCUCCCUCCCUCCCUCCCUCCCUCCCUCCUUCCCCCUCUUCUCUUCUCACUUUGCUUUUCAUCUUUUAGCCUCUCUCUCUCUCUCUCUCUCUCUCUCUCUCUCUCUCUCUCUCUCUCUCUCCCCUAAGCAAACUGGGUAAGAAAGAAAACCCACCUCAUUGUUUCCAUCAAUGUGACUAUUUGUGUGUGUCUCAGUCUCACUGUGAUCUUAUAUAUGAGCUAAGCCCUCUUUUCAGAGAAAGCGUGUGAGAAUUGGAAGAAAAGUAAGCUGCAGACCCCACCACAAUCAGUGAGUGAGUGACUGACUCUGUUACUGUGCCACUCUCACUUUCAUACACUCAAUUUUCAACAAGCUAGAGAGAGAGAGAGAGAGUGUGUGUGUAUAUGUAGCCGUAAUGUUCAUCUAACUGACACAUCAUCAUCUUUGGCCAUUGCAGGUUCUUUUCUUUCCCUAAAAAGACCUCGUCGGAAAGGGCGCCCCGGCAAAGACCCACGAGAUCAUUACCAAAAUGCUGGACUACGAAUGGGGAAACCCCUCCACCGUCAUGCUCUCCCCCGACAACGACCCCGGAUCCGACCCCACCCGACAACACCACAACACCACCACCAUUUUCGACCAUUACGCCUCCCAAGCCUCCCAAGCCUCCGCCUUCAACAACCUCGUCCCUCCUCCUCCUCCGCCGCAACAGCAAUCUCACCACGCCGCAUUCGCCCACCACUUUAACUCGGCCCAGGCCCAACAGCUCCACUCCAUCUACGACGCCCACGCCUAUGCUAACGCGUCGGCCUACGCGCCUCCAAAUCACCACCCUCUGCUCUCCCUCGACCCGAUCCAAGGAGGCGCGGCCCACGGGCUCAUUCUGGUCCCAAAAUCCGAGGACCUGUGCCGGCCUGUGGACUUCGCGUCGAGGAUCGGGCUCAACCUCGGCGGCCGGACCUACUUCUCCUCCGAGGACGACUUCAUGAACCGGCUCUACCGCCGGACCCGACCGGCCACCGAGACCGGGUCGAACCACGCCCCGCGGUGCCAGGCCGAGGGCUGCACGGCGGACCUCUCCCACGCCAAGCACUACCACCGCCGCCACAAGGUCUGCGAGUUCCACUCCAAGGCCUCCACCGUCAUCGCCAACGGGUUGACUCAGCGAUUCUGCCAGCAGUGCAGCAGGUUCAAAAUUACCCCCAAUGCCCCUCUCCCCAAUCGCGUAAUGACCGAAAUGCCCCCGGGUCUUGCUUUCUGUUCUCCUCCCGCCCGGCCAAUGAUUGGGAAAAUCCCGUUUGCCGGACACGGGGGUCGAUCCCGAAAGGCAUUUGCGUCCGUAUAAAAAUUAUUACGUGCCCCGUUUUCCGUUUGGUUUGAUAAAUGCACGUGAGCAAGGGUUUUUCUUGUCUGAAAUGAUUUAAAAAAACCCUGGUCUUGCUGUGGAUUGACGAUAAUGGCCAUGGGAGACGAAUGAUGUUUGGUGCAUGGCCCAAUGAUUGGCGCGUCCGUACAUUUGGGCGAUCCCGAGGGCAUUUCUGUCCGUGAAAAAUAUUAUAUCCUUCUUUUGGUUAUUGCGCUUGCCGUUUAUGGACCGUGUUGCUUUACUUAUUAUGGAAAGAAUUUGUUGAUAUUGAUUAAUUAGACGGUUAACCAACUACUUAACUAAAUGCCCUUUAUGAUUAUUAAUUAAUAAACUAUAAUUAAAUGCAGCAUUUUGACUAUACUUUUUCUUGCAGAUUCCAUCUUCUUCCGGAGUUUGACAACGGAAAGCGCAGCUGCCGGAGGAGAUUGGCCGAUCACAAUCGUCGCAGGCGAAAAACUCAGCAAACAAAUCAAGAGAAUCACAACUCACAAGUACAGCAGCUAGUGGAAAAUGCCCGGAAUUCUUCUUCAGAUAAUGUUGCAAGUAAUUAAGUAACCUAGUUCAUAAAUUGAGACUUUACCCUUACUUUAAUUUUGUUUUAGUAUGUGGAAAUUGAACUUUUGUAAUAUUUGGUUUUCUGGGAUUUGUUUGGUAGGGUCUCCGCCGGAGUCGGCAGCACAUUCGGCGUCCUCUGUGACCGUGGCCCUGUCGCCGCCACGAAUGACGUUGGAUUGUUUUAGGCAAAGACCCUAUCAAGCUGCUGCCACAACUUCUUCAGGGUCAUCAAGCUCACUUUUUUUCUCAAGUGGGUAAAAGCCAAUUAGAAUUAGUUAAUCAAUGGCGUUGUGUAUUUUUAAUUAGUCUAGUCUUCCCUAAAAUUUCAGUCUUAGUCUGAACGAAUUUUAGUCACAUUAAUUACAUGCAAUAUUGGAGCAUGAAUUUGGCUAUUCUCUAUAUUCUAUGCAAGUAGAUUCUUUAGCAUUUUUAUUUAUUUUCCCCUGCAAUUAAUUCCGUUUAAUAAUGCAUUUUAACUUAGUGGAAACAAGGUUGCUGGAAAUUAAAUUGGAAGCUGUUUGUGUUUGGUUCCAGAGAAAGUCAUGUGUUUGUGUUUGUCUUGGUGCUGGAAUUUUCCGGGAAAAUGCAGGGAGAGAUAGAAAUAAAUUGACUGCAGCACUAGUAGUAGUUUCAGUUUUGUACUUAUAACGUUAACUCUAAUCUGAGGAGGAAUAUAAUGAAGCCGUCAAGCAUGUCUCCCAAAUGGAAGCUGUACUAAAAACCAACUUAAUUAUCAAGCAGCAAUUUUGAUCAAAAUCAAUCAAUCACAUGCUGCCCUCAAUUAAUCUCUCCCUCUCUCUCUCCAUAGGAUCGUUGUGAGCCGUACAUCCACACUUCAAAGGGUCCCCGUUGGGGCCUACUAAACGGAAAUCACAUGGAGGGGGGGGUAGAAAUUGUUAAUCAUGGCAAGCAAUUAUUUCACCAUAAUAUGAAUAUCUCUCCACACAGGGACAUAAAGCUUGUGUUUUGGAAGUACUUCUUUUAACAGCGCUAAAAAACCUCUUUCAAGUACAGGUGAAUUUUCAACAAGUCAUGCGCGUACAUUUUAAUGGGUUGCCACGCUUUAGUGAGUCGAAUUUCACUAGCGUCAAUUAUUUUGUUCGUGUUGACGAAAUAUCUUCUGAUUAGACUAAUUAAGUUAAUGAAUCGAAAACUUAACGAAUUAUUCAUUUUCUGUUUAGAUCGAUGAGUUUCUAAGGAACAAUACGGUACCCUUGCAUAAUGUAAACUAAGAACAACAAUAAUUCUAUCAGCUAUACCUAGUUGAUGUUACUUUGUGAAUUAAUGUAUAGCAUAUGGUACUAAAUUGAGGGUUUGUUUUGUCUCUUUCUUCUUGGUGUGUUUUUGCAACAAUUACGUGAUAGAGUUGCAACAACUGUAGUAGGCAUGCAAGUCAUGCAAAGAUCCUUGUCGUCUUUUUCUAGAAGAAUUGUAAGUGGGGAUGACAUUGACUUACAAAAUUAGUCACAUGACAUUGUAACAUAAUAAUAAAAGUAAUACUCUUUGUCCCAAUUGAAGAUUACAAAGUUGCAUGAUGUGGAAAUUUAAUAUUGGGGGUUUCCUUUUCUUGUUUUCUUAUGUUAAUCUUUUUCUAUCAUUUUUCAUAUAUAUAAUAUAUGAUUGUGAAUGAUGGGUUUUUUUUCAUUCUCUGAUGUGGAAGUGGAAGCCUCCUUGCACUUUCCAGGAAAUUUGUUGUUACUAGUUAGGCCUUUUCCUAUGUGUCUUUAUUCAUCCUACUUUUUUGCUAGGAGCUUCAAUUAAAUUGAGAUAUGCUUUUGUUCUAAAUUAAGACAAGCAAUUGAUCUCCUUCCAUUCAUUUCAAAUCAUGGAUGUGUUGAAAACAAAAAAACAUUACUUUGUUAGUUGUAAGUGAACUCUCACCUCAAGACGUAUAUCAUUUUUUAAGGUAAAUCAGUCAUAUCCGUCACACUCUAUUUUAACAUAAUUUAAAAAGAUCUCGAGCUUCUACAUUUAGAGUUCAUGUAUUUACCCGCAUUUCUGACAUAUGAACCAUUAAAAUCAAUAAAAUAUGCGCGUUAUUUUUUUAUAUUUUUAAAAUAUCAGUCCAAUAAUGUGAGAGCUAUCUCGUAUGGUUGCCUAUAAUUAAAAAGUGUGCAUGACUUGUGGCUGAAGUAGGAAAUCCCAUCUCAUCCGUCAUCACCGAUGAGCUCAUUUUGUAAUUGUUUGGAGAGAGGUCACUUUCUUGCACCUCUCACUUUAAGUUUCGUGUCCCCUUAUCCUACAUCAAGCACAAGAAAAAGGGAAAAGGCUAUUACCCCCUCAUCAAUUGGUGUUCAUUAGUUUUACUGACAAUAUAAAGAAAAAGUAAUUAAUUGAAACGGCAAAUCAUAUAAAUUGAUGUGUAGUAAUUUAAUUGUAUUGGCUAUUAUUGUUUGUGAGUUCUUAAACAUCUUGCAUAUGACAGAAUUUGCAAUUUUAAUUGGAAUUUCUAUACCAAAGUUUUUUCGAUCAUGCGUGAUCGUUAGUGGAGGCACAUUAGAUUGUCUUAAUUUUGAUGUUAGAUUGCUUCGUUAUUGUAAUAGCCCUUUGUAGCUAGUCGGUAUUGGUCCUUUAUGAGUGGUAGUUUUUUGGUUGAAUUAUGAAUGCAAUUCCAUACAUUUUCAAAACAAAAACAAAAAAAAUUCCUUGCAUAUAGGAAACAUUUACACUAACAUAUAAAGUAUAAUAUAAAAUAAUCCAAUACAUACGGUAAACCUUAAACAUAAGGUCUAAUAACCUUCAAAGCAAACCAAUCAUUAUAUUAAUAACCUUCAAAAUAAUUCCAACUUAGGUAAUUUGUAAACCUAAUAAUUGGGUGUUUCUUAAGGAAGCACUUAAGUGCUUUUUUUAAAAAGCGUUUCAAAUUUUAUUUUUUAAAAAAAAUUGUUGUGCUUAAUAAAAACGCAUAUAAACAAAAGGAUUUUAUUACUUCUUUCUAUAUAAGCACUCCCAAACUGGCCAUAGUGGUAACAUACACAUUUUCUGUUAAUUAAUUGUUGAUUGGCCAAAAAGAAAAAGUUCAGUGGUCCAAACUUUAGUUAAUAAUUAGUAUUUUGUGAGCUUUCAAAUCCUCCGCAGGGAGGAGGAGUAGUGAUCACAAGUCAGUGAGUGGUCCAAAUUGGAACGCAAACAAUCAAAAUAUAUUGCAACCUCUUUGUUUAAAGAGAGAAGUCAGAAGAAUGAAGGAGGUACACUUCAUGUUCCAUUCAAUCGGUGCAACAUUACCCUCAGCUCCCCAAUCCCCAAUGAAAUCAUCCCAUUUUUGUGGGUCGCAACCGAAGCACAUGUCACACUUCCUGGCUGGCUAUAUAAGACUUUGGUCAUACUCAUUACCUCACCAUUAUAUUAUUGAAAAGGUAACGACUUUAACACUCUCAAUUUAACUGUAACGAAGAUUUACUGAGAAAGUACCAUUGUAUGAUUGAAGAGUAGCGACUUUAAGACUCCCAAUUUAACCAUAAAGAAGAUUUACUACGAAAGCCAAAAGAUGUAAAGAAGCAAAACAUAUUUGAUUGGCAUAACCCUCCGAAUUCCUAUUGUGAGGAUAAAAUAAGGGAUUUUAACCGUAAUACCAGAUUUUUAUUUGAUACUCGAACUCGUUUUUGAGUCAUUUCGGGCUUUCAAUUUUCUUACGUUUUUUAAUUUAGUUAUUAUCAGAGAAUAAUUACAUCAAAAUUAACGAUUUAACUCCUCAAAUAGACGGAAAAAUUAACGAAAUUUAACAAAAUAACUAAAUUGAAACACAUGCGAGAAUUGAAAAACCAAGUAUAAAAUAUUGAAUUUGAAGGUAGCAUGGAAAGUGAACUCAGAAGUUGAAAUUGAAAUCAACAUAUUUUUGUGAUGAAGGGAUUUGUAGGGCCCCCGCAAUUUUCACUGCAGACUGAUCUUAAAGCCACUGUCGCUGUGGGUUGUUCUUGUGGCACAGAGAGCAUACUUUUCAAACCCUGCACGUGGAUACUUGUUGUAGGCUCCUAGUUCUGAUACGUGGGGCAUGGCAUGGAGAGUACUUGCAGGUUUGGUCACGUGCAACGCACGUGGUACUACGAAAAUAGUCUUUGCCCGUUUGCAACUACAGCUGGAGAGGGAAAAAAAAAGGGAGUUGGUAAUUUGAUAUGAAAUGUGAAUGAUGAAUUGGUAGGUGUGUGUUGUGGAGCAAAGGCUUUUCUUUUGUUGUGUGUUCUGUGGUUGGACCGGGCAAAAUAAUGUCACAAAUAUGGAUAAGGGGUAAGUCGGUAACUCUCCUUUUUUUUCUUCUUCAAACUACUUAUGGAUUUCAGUUACCUAUUCUUAGUAUGUAGAUUGUAGAGCCAACCCAAAACCCUAGACAUAUAAUGUAAGGUGUUAUAAAGAAGUGCUCGUGUAAUUUUACGAGAUAAUUUUUUGUAUUAUGUUGUCGGAUUCUUAAUUUGAAUCACUAGCGAAAAGGCUGUGGUAAUUGAAUUACUAUAUAUAGAAUCUUCUUAUUACAUAUAUAGAAUCUUCUUCAACCAUGAAUGUUUAACUCAUGAUCCAAGAGGUUCUAAUUAACUUGAACAUAAUAGUCGAUGAUUAAACUCAAAUUCCUGUUUAAACUUUGAAAAUCGACCUUAAUUAUGAGGUUUUUUUUUUUUUGUGUGUGUGUGUGUGUGUGUCAAAGAACCUUAAUUAUGAGUUAUGAGAUCCAAAAAUAAUAUAUGUUCAGUCCUACACACCUGUCGAAAGGGGAAAAAUCAUGACAGAUGAAGGAGCAAGCACAUCAAAUUAUUGAUGAUAUAGGCAAUAACAUAAAGUGUCUCAUAGGGCAGAACAGAGGUACGGUCAUAUUAUUUUUCUUCUUUCUUUUUUUUUUUUUUUGGGGGGGGGUAAUAUUUGCCAAUUCUUGAGAGGACAAAAUUAUGAGUGUCUCCGAGCUUAUGAGUAUCUCAUGACCAUAAUGUCUUUUCAAAAUAUUUCAUGUGCUCAAAAAGUUUAUGUUCUCAUCAUUUUUCUUGUUUCUUCGUUAGAAAAUUCUAUUAGUGCAAAUGUGUACUCAUUAAACAAACACUUUAAUGACAGUUAACGGAUUUACCUUUUCAAAAUAGGGUUUCAAUUUGUGAAUUCGAUAUUAAAUUCACUUUGGUAGUGUGUGUGUGUGAGAAACUCCCCUACUCUUAUAAUUUACACUACCACUUGUGUUAAAAAAAAAAAUCAUAUCUUAUUUUGGAUGUUUAAGCCCAUUAGACCUCUAAGAGUGAGAUUUUAACAUUAUUAUAAUAAAUAAAUAAAGGCUUUUGUGCAAUUAGCAGUAAACUACCCAUACAUGAACUUUAGAUUAUUGGUGUAUUUGUAUGAUGUGCGAUUUACAUCACAUCAUGACUCGUAUCAAGUCAACACCAACAAAAAAAAUUUAAUUAUGAUUUACUUACGGGAAAAGUAUUUGGUUACGGAUGCUACAUUGCAGGGACGGACCUAUGCUAUAUGUACAACCUGGGCUAUAGUCCAGGUUAUUUUUUUCUUUUCUUAUAGUUAGUGUUGAUGUUUAAGCAUAUAUGAUAAAAAGUUGCUAGCAUUUAUUAGUGUAAAAUAGGCCUUUUAAACAAAUAAAAUAUAAAUGAUAUGUUCUCAAAUUAAAUUUAUAAUAUUUAUGAUCAAUUUCAUAAGCUUCCCCUAAGAGUUUAGUUAAGCCUAAAAUCUAACAGUCUAGUAAAGUAAAUCUAGCCCACCCCAUUUUGAAAUGUUGAUUCUGUCCCUGCUACAUUGAAACAAUGGCUACACCAUUUAUGCCCACCACAAGAUUUAGAUGUCAAGUAUAUAUAUAGCGUUUGUGACCCCAUGCAGAACAGUAGCAGUUUUUAUUUCUCUACGGAGUUUCCAGUACUAGAAAGCAUAAUUUCUCAAGUCUUUGUCGUCCUUGGUAAAAAUUCACACACACGAAGCAGAAAACUAGGCAUAUAGCAAUCAUUAUUAUUUUUAUAUGAAAGAGGACAUUGGUACUAGUAUUAUUUAAUAGGACUUGUUCUGAGCUUUGGCGUUACUGGUCAGGGACUUUUAGAAGGAAACUUAAUAAAGUAGGAAGGUCUGAAGAUAAUGAUUUGCCAAAUGUGUGUAAACUUUGAAGUCUUGCAAAUGGUGGAUGCUCUCCAUCACAUUUUGACCGUAUUUUACAAUGUACUCUCAGUGAUGUUUUUAAGUACAAUGGAAAUUACGAAAAUGCUACACGCAUCUUACGAUAAAUCUAAGGAAAAUUGUUAAACCAUAUAUCAGAAUGCGGGAGUGUAUGUACUAUAUGUGAUUUUGUUUGUUCACGGUGCGGGAACAUAGAUUUUCGGCAAUCACUCAGGUGACGCCACGUAGAAGACCGAAUAUUCCCUAGGUCAUGUGAUUGUGCCAAUUAAAUUCCCAUUUAAUUUGCCAAUUAUUAAGAUUUAAAGUAGAAAUAUCUCCUUAAAUCAAGAUCUGAUUUUCAUUGACAAGUUUGACAUUGCUGUGCUGUGAAAAUAAAAUUUAAUUAGCACAAUUAUUUGACCUAAGGAAUAUUCCAUCUUCCACGUGUCUUCUAUUGAAUGGCUGCAGAAAAUAUGUGUCCCCACAAACGGGAUUCUUGUUUUGUUUAAACAAUCUGGAAAUUUAUUGAAAAUGUUAUCUCGGCAUUUUGGGCUCUUGCAUUAAGAUUUUUACACAAGUCCUGAAAUAUGCAUUUUUUAUUUAUUUAUAAAUUUAUUUUUAUGUAGGAUCUUGAGUCCUAACAUUCCACUCUUCUUAUAUACCCAACAUUCUCGAUGGCCAACUCUAUCGACACUGGUCCCGCUGCUUAAGAACUAGAUAUUCUAAUUGAGAUGGAGCUAUGUAGGAAUCUCAUAAGAUUAGGACGUGGAUAGAAGUAUAUUUGAUCUCUCAUUUGUUUAGAUCGAUUGUCCUGAUCCAUAUUGAUUGCAAAAGGAAAAUGGAGGCCCAAUCAUAUUUUUCUUGUUCAUUAGUUCCAUGUUUCAAAUAGAAGAGUUCUUGAUAUACCUUUGAAACUUGUAAUCAAUCUUUAAACCUUUUCAUUUUCUCGUUCAUCUUCCUCCUUUUCUUGCAGCCCUUGAUGAAUAAAGAGUAUGAAACUAACAAAAGCAACAAAAUAAUCAAAUGUCUACAAUGGGAGUGAACUUUUAUUUUAUUUUUGGUAAAAGAAUGGAAGUGAACUUUAUCAAGGACAAAUGCGUUUAAGAAACAAAUACCAGCAUAAAUAGGAGACCAGAGGCCUGUCCCAACACAUAAAGAAAAUAUGUAAACCAACUAAUUACAAUGUAUUAAUGUCCAUCAAGCAACAAAAUAAAUAUACAGUUCGACAUACAAUUAGCCUCCUAACUGGAAAAAAAAAAUAACGAGCACGACAGUAACACCACAUAGCAUAUAGGUAACGUCAUUAAUCUACUCAACUUAUAACACAAACACCAUAUCCACAUGCCGCAUGGUGUUGCAUACCAUGAAUCUGAAAAAAUUUCUCGCCCUAAUUUGUCUAAUUGGCUAACUGACCUCACACUAAAACAAAGCAAUCAAAGAAUUAUAUACCUUUUCAACAAAAAAAAAAAAAAGUUAGACCACACUGGCUCCAUGAAAGGAGUUCCACAAAUCACACUCUUGAUCUUCUUCAGCCUUGGUUUUGCCCCUUUCAGGCAAGAACCCGUAUGCCGGGCUCGGAGCUUGCCGGAGAUCAAGCGUCAAAUGCGCACCACUGCCUUCAUGGAACCUGUCCCAACCAUGUUGAUAAUUAUGAUCAGAAAACAUCUGGUGCUGCUGUGGUUCGACUGAGUUGGACCAUGAUUGGCCAUGAUCACAAAACAAAUCUUCAGUUGCAUGGCUGUUAUGUGACGAUGAAUCCCAGUUUCUGUCUUCCGAUGAAUUAAUGAGCUGGCGAGCCAAGACGGCUGCGCGGUUUUCGGCAAUGAGCUCACGAAGUGCAGCACUGGAUCUUGAGGAGAGAUCAGAGGGAGAUACCCAGGAAUCAAAACCAGUGUUCCUGGAUGACAGAAGAGAGAGAGCACGUCCUGUCGGAGUUGAUAAGUAUCCAAACCUCCCCUUUUCUGUUGACAAAAAGACAAACACUCCAUGAUUAGCAAUAGGGUUUCCUUUCAUUAAUAUCAGAGGUUAGCAACUGGGUUUUCCUUUCUAUAAUCUCUUUUCUUUUGGCGGAAACUAUACUCGCAAUGGCAAACAUCGAUUCAGAAAGACUCGAAGAAUCUCUAAAGAAAUUCAAAAAGAAAAUUCUUAAGAAAGCUAAAAACAAAACAAGAAAGAUUAAGAACCCGAUAAGGAGAUAAAAUGUACACACCUUGAGAAGAAGUUCUGGAUAGAGAAUCAUGAGAGCUCUUUCGUCUUCGCUCAUUAUGGCCUGCUAAUCUCCUCCUACAACUCCUCUUAGACUCGUCAAACUCUGACACUACAUGAAACCUAUACGCAUUUACCGAUUUACCCACCCAUUAGAAUUUAGAACAACCAACAUCAUCAUCAUCUUAUAUAUUGCCAAAAAUAUAUAAUAAAGUGUAAUGAAUCUUUUUUUUUUUGGUUUGAACAUUUGCUGACAUAAAUGAAUGCGUCAUACUAAUUUGUAUGAGAAUGUAUACGAAAACGUUGCUAAAAAGUUAGCUUAAGCCCUUUUAAAAUAAGCAUUAUCCUAUGAUCUUCAUCAAAGUUACUAAAAGUUGUCAUGAUCUUACAAUCAAAGCAGAAAUAAAAUUCUUCUCGUGGCUCAAAAAGUAAACCCAUUUUGGCUCUCUCUCACCCAACAAAAGCUUACUGGAAAAAACAAGUCCACUUCAUAAUCCAAUAAUUGUCUUGUAAGUUUUUAUUAUUGAAACUCAAGCAAAAACAACACAAAAUAAAAUAUUUGAACACGGUGAUUCAAGAAAAUAUUAAAAUUUCAAUAAUUCAAUUGAGUGGUCAAAUGAUAUCGGAUUUAAGUUAUUUUUUGUAGAGAUGAUCUUUGAAUGAGUAUCUACAAAAUAGACAGUUUGAAUUAGUGAAACACAAUACGGAGUAGGCCCUACAAGGAUGUCCUUUAAAUAAAUUAAUUUGAGGGAUACCUCAAUAGAAGCUAUAUGUAUAUAUAUAUAUAUAUAUAUAUAUAUAUCUCUCUAUCCGCCAUAUCUUUCUCUAAUCGUUUUAAUGUAGGGAAUUUAGCAAUAAGCCCCAAAUAAUUACUUUCCAGUUCAAUAAAGGAUCACAUUUUUAGAACAAAAGGAAACCAAUCGAAGCUAAGGUCAAAAUUAGAAUCCGAUUCACCUUUUGGCCUCUUUUGUAGUGAAAAAGAAUAAUGUUAGAAGGACCGGAUUUUUGAACUGCAUUAGUGAUUGAAAAAUGCAGUCAUAAAUAAGUGGUUUUACUACUUUAGGCCAAGAAAACAUUUAUAUAUGUGGUAUCAAGAAUAAAGUUGUUUCUUUUCCGGUCUAAUAGUCUAGCCUCCCAUUCACUCUCCUUCAAAGAAAUGAUGGUAAUUUGCAUUUGGUUAAUGUUCUAGCAAGUGAUGAUAAACCAACAACAAUUGUUCUCUAAUGAUCAAGUUCAAGAUGGCAAUUUCCACUUGGUGCCAGUUUUUUUUUUGGGAAAAAAAUGGUUAAAAUAUUUAAAAUAUUAAUAAAAAUGAAAAGGAAUUGUAGUUCAGAUUAUCAACUUUAUCCAUAAGAAUAACAACAACAACAACAAUAAUAAUAAUAAUAAUAAUAAUUCAGCACAAAAAUAAAGAAGAAAUGAAAGGAAGUGACCUGCUGCACUGCUGACAGAAGCGCUGCUCUUGGCCCAACACCGUGACCUUGGAAGCCUUGGAGUGCAUCUCGCACACCUUGUGCCUCCGGUGAUACUCCUUCGCGUUCAUCAGCGGCACGUGGCACCCCUCCACCUGACACCGCGGCACCACCUUCAACGCCAGGGUCGCCCCGCUCCCAUACAGUUGCUGCGCCGCUCCUCCUCUGCCUCUCUUGCUCAUCACGCCCACCGGGAGCCCCGCCACGUGUCGAUCAUCCAGGGCAUGAGCAUGAGCUCGAGCAUGAUCCUCGAAGUAGUGCCUCUUCCCCAGCUUCAAGCACAUCAGGUGUGGGUCCGGAUGGUAGUGGGAGCGGGCCCCGCCGCCGUAGAAACUAGAUUGCUGCUGCUGCAAGGGAUGGCCCAUGAUGAACGCAUGACCGCCGGCGCUGGCCUCGGAGCACGUGGCGGAGCUGGAAGCCCCCGUCGUGGCGGCCACGGUGACGGCGGCCGGAGAGUAGAAUGAGUUGUUGUUAGUAGAAGUAGCACCACCCCAUAUAUCCCAAUUGGUGAGGUAGGUGUUGUUAUUACCAUUUUGCCCUCUGCUGCUGCUGCUUAUGUGACUAUUAUUAUUAUGAUCAUGCCCUAACAUGUUCAUGUUCCCACCUAUUUCCAUAUCUCUCCUCCACUGAUCUGAGAGAGAGAGAGAUAGAGAUAAGAUAGAUGGGUUUUGGGUUUGGAUAGUUUUGGUGGUAAUAUUGGGUACAAAUUAUAGGCAGAGAUAAAGGACUAGCUGCUAGGGUAUUUAUAAGUGUGUGUGUGUGUGUGUAUAUAUAUAACGGGUAAGAGAUUUUCACAGAAAUGGGGGAGCAACAGGCUGUAGGAGUUGCCUGCUGGUUGGGUAUCACAUAUAUAAGAGGAAAGGGGUUUCAGAAGAGAGAGAGCGAGAGAGAGAGAGGGAGAGCAGUGAAGGGUUCUCUCUGGGUUUCUUUUGUUCUACACCAAUGGGGUUAAAGUGAUUAAGCAAAAGGCUGCAAAUUUUAAGUUCGCCCAGAGAGAGAGAGAGAGAGAGAGAUAGAGAUUGAGAGAGAGCCCAGUGACACGUGAGAGGGAAUGGACGGACAUGGGAGCGCACGUGGGAACAGUGGUAGGUGGAGCCAGCCAAGCUCCUCUGGAAAAUGAUUUGAUUGAAGAGAGUCACUGCUAUCAUCAGUAUUCAGUAUGUGAGAGAGAGAGAGAGAGAGAGAGAGAGAGAGAGAGAGAGAGAAAGGUAAACUUGUGAUUAGACCAGAGAGGGUGCUGAAAGAGAAAGAGAGACGGACACGUGGCUUCCUACUAAUUGAUCCAAUAACAAUAUCGUUUUCAAGUUAAACAUUUACAUAGUCCCGCAGCAUGCAUUUUUCUUACAAAAUGUCUCAAAAUAGUACUUCUAGGGGUCGUUUGGUACGCUGGACUGUCAUGGACUAGACUAAACAUUGGGAUUGUCUUGGAUUGGCUUGGCUUGGCAUAAACUGGAUAAGCCUAGUACUGCGUUUGGUGCACGAUUGGAUUAGGACUAAAUUUUUAAAAUUUUUGAAUUUUUGAAUUUUUACUUUUCUUCUCUCUCCCUCUACUCUUUCUUCUUCAUCUUCUCUCUGCGUCUUUUCUUUUUCAUCUCUUCUUCUCCCUGCUCUCUCUCCUUCUCUUCUUUUCAAUAUGUAUUCUCUCUUCUUAUAAUUUCUACCACACCGAAAAACAUCAUCCAGAUACUUUAGCUUUGGUGUGGAAAGUAAUUUGCAGAAACAAAUUUGAGGAAGAGGCAAGAGCUCACACCUAAAUCAUGGCAGAAAUCCAUAGCCCACACCAAAAUCAUCAUCCAAAAAAAAACUUGAGAGAGAGAUAGGUAGAAGCAGACUCAAAUUGAUGAAGACCCAAGAUAAAUCGUGGAACAGCUUCAAUUGCCGUGGUGGUUUGUCGUCGCCGACACCGACUGCUGUCAUCAUCAGCCAUCAUUGUUGCUGCCUGCCAUCGCCGUUUGCAACCCAUAAUCGGUAGUUCUGAUUGCCGUUUGGGUGGUCGGUGGUUGCCGCUGGUGCUUGGGUGGAGUUGGUUGCAGAGUUUUGGUCGGGACUAAUAGUCCCUCAUUUUCACAUGGGUUUAGCUAAGAACACCUAAGAAGGUGCUUUUGGUGGGCCUGGGAUUACUAAUCCCACUUAAUAUUAGGACCAAGUGACAACAAACAUGUGAUUAACUUUUAGCCAAGCCAAUCCAAGCCAAGAAGGUGUAACAAACAAGCCCCUAGGGCUUAAUUAUCAAGUCUGAAAUUUUAGUACCUACUCCCUAAAAUUUUAGUCAAGUCUCAUUUUGUCAUUCAAAAUUAAAAUAAACUAUUUUCAUCUUUUUAUUGAGAUUGGGUGACCCACUUUACACAUAUCGUCAACUUCGUUUAAAAAUGUGUUAAUUUUGAUAAUGUGAUAGGGGUUUUUGUAAUUUCAUACACAUAGAUCAUUAUCCAGCAAUUAAGGUGAGUGAUAUGGCAAGUGAACCCACCUCUGCAUAGAUAAAAAUAUAAGUAAAUAUUAUAAUAAUUAAAAUUAACUAAAAUUAAAAUAAAUUAGAAAAUAUAUAUUCAAAUAAUUAAAAACCCUACCCAGUCACUACAAUCCUCCCACCCACCGUCUACCGACCACCACUUCUUUUGGUUCAAUCCAUUUUGGUGAAAAUUCCUUAAUCCAAUCACAUCGGGACAGAGCAUUUUAGGAUUCCAAGGUUUUCCUGCAGCUGACUUCUUCCAUCUUGUGUCACAUCCCGAGAUUGGUUCUGCCGUGGCACGAUAAUGUCAGCUUUGGGCCCCUCUUUCUGCCCUCACGGUUUUGUUUCUGGAAACUCACGAGCAACUUCCCAGUGGGUCACCCAUCAUGGGAUUGCUCUAGCCCCAACUCGCUUAACUUCAGAGUUCCCAUGACUCUGAAGCCAAUGAGCUCCCAAAAGGCCUCGUGCUAGAUGGAGGCGGGCAUGUACAUAUAAGGCACAUCACCCUCUCUCCGUUGGUCGAUGUAGGAUGUUACAUCCUGGGUGAGGCGCCUCUUGCUUUUCCUCCUGGUUUUCCUUCCAAAGCUUGCAGAGGAAAGAAUGGGUAAGGGUGUUGGUCUAAAAGGUGUCUUACUUCCAGCAGCCCGUGCACAUGGGUUUCACUUGGUGCUUAAUGAUGACUUGGUUUUGAUUUGGUUUUAAUAGGGUGCUGGGAUAUUUUCUAAGUUGCUUGGCCAUUUCUUCAAGGUCAUGAGCUAUUUUUUCUCUCUUAUGCUUACCUAUAUAUUUGGACUCAAGAAAUAGGCUUGAGUUUGGUGCUCCCAAGCAGCCUAAAACUUCCACUUCUUCGACCAUCAUUAGCCAUCAUGAACACUUGUAACCAUCUAUAUCACAACCUACUCAGCAAGCCCUAGACAUUUACAUGACUUGCGCCCACUUAAGCUUGUAGCGUGGCUUGAUACUAAAAUAAAGGUUUUCUUCGCUCAACGUCGCGUGUCGUGUGGUCUGUUUGUGCUCAGGUUUUGCCAUAUUGUAACGAGCUAUGGUCGGGCCAAGCGAUGCUUGACGGGACAAUGAGCGUGGGUUCACGGAACCAGUACAUUUUAUAUGCUCGUAUUGGAUUGGCGUGGCAUGCAUACCAUAACUUGUGUAAGCGCAUACAACAAAUUCCUGCAUACCCCAGUCGGGCUCCUUCCUCGAUAGAGUGUUGUACUGGGCUAUAAAUAUAUUUGGGGCCAGCGUUGGAUUUUUGGGCCUCAAUAGUUUGUUUGUUUGAGGGUUCUCAAAUUUUGAAUGAUUUUCCUUUCUAUGUUUCUGUAUUUGUUUUGAGUUUAUAUAUUUUCCUUCCUGAUCUGAGUUGUGUUUUCGGUUUGAGAGAGAGAGAGUGGGACUAAGAUAGACAGACAGUUACGAUUGGGAAUAUGAGAUUACAUACAGUUGUUUCGAUUAGAGCAAAUUACAUAUUUGAACAAUUUAAGGCCAAUUAACAAAAAAUGCAGAUGAGAGAAAGAAGAACUCGGAUGAGCAGAAGGCUGAAGAGUAACCAGAAGAAUUUUGGGUGCGCUGUCUUGAUAAAUUUUAGGAGAGAGAGAGAGAGAGAGAGAGAGAGAGAGAGAGAGAGAGAGAGAGGUUGUGCUAUGAUGACUUUUGGUGGUUGGUUGGUUAUCUGGUGCUGCGUAGGUUGGGGGUGGAUAUGGUGGAUUUUUGUUAAGGAUGGGGAUGGGCGUGGGAGGAUUGGAGCUACUGGGGGAGUGAUUGGGGGCUGAGUAGGGUUUUUAAUUAUUUGAAUAUAUUUUUUUUAUGAUUUAUUUUAAUUUUUAGUUAUUUUUAAUUAUAUUUUUAUCUAUAUGGAGGUGGUCCACUUAUCACGUCACUCACCAAUUAGCAUAUAAUAAUUCAUGCGCACGAAAUUAAACCUUUCUAGUAAAAUCACUCACUUAUAUAUAAUAUUUUACUUUAUCAACUUUCCUAUAAGAUACUCUACAUUCUUCAAUACGAACAAAUAUGUUUGGCCUAAUGAGGUUUUACUCUUUGCUUGCUAAAGUAUAAGAAGAAUUUGUAUUUACACAUGUAUUCGAAGUUUUUGAUUCGAUUCCUCUCUUUCUAAAUAUCACUUGUAUUAAAGAAAAAAGAAAAGAAAAGAAAAAAAAGUGUGUAUCUUGCCUUUGGUUUUAUUAUUUACUCAAAAGAAUGCCCAAAUACAUGAAAUUUUACGAUGGGGGCUCACUUGUGUAAAGACAAAAAUGUGGUUGAUGAUGGCUAUAAACUCUCCUCUUUUUUUAAUUUUUUGUUUUAUUUUGUUUUAUUUUGGUAGCUACUAGCUUAGGGAGGGGAUCAUGAAAGGUUGGUUACAGACCAUAGAGGACAUCAAUAUGGUAUCCGGUACCAUCAUGGUGGGACAUGUACCUGAUUCUGUAGGGAAAGUAAAAUCUUUUGUAAGGUCCCCAUGACAUAUAUAGCAUGAGUGCCUUACCUUUCACAAUUAACAGAUUAAUAAUGUAAAUAACUUAUUUCAUUGAAAAGAUAAUAAUAUUGACAAAAUUUCAAAUUAGCUUCAAAUCAUAUCUACCUAGCCUUCAUGGCAACAUUGACAAAAUUUGACAUUAAAAAAAUAAUUAAUAAAUAAAUAAUUUGCAAAUAUAGGUGUUAACUUUGGUGUCAGUCAUUCUUUAAGUCAUUUCAUCUCUUACUUAAACUUAACAAACCCAAAAUUUACAAAUUCGUGCAUUGACCAUACCAUUUUUGUUGGUCAGGCGACCCUACUAAUUUUGUACAAAAAUUUUACAAAAAAAUGAGUGCAAUGAAAUACUUGUCGGUUCUUGUACGAACUUGCCUAAAUAUUUUGAGCUUCAUAUUAUUCAUCCGACCACAAAAAGUUGGAGAGAAAUAGGUCAACUCACACACCCUUUUUUGGGGGGUUUUUUUUCUAACCUUCUCAUUUUCCCAAUAUCAAUUAGUUAAAAAAGGGGAAAAAAAAAACCCCUAAAACAUUUAUGUCCCUUCUCUACGAGAAAGACUUCCAUGAAACAAAAAUAGCACAUGAUAACCCUUCAAAACUCAUUCUUAGAAUUGGAGUUCUUUAUAUAUAUAUAUAUAUAUAUAUAUAUAUAUAUAUAUAUAUAUAAUUCUAUAUAUAAAACUGAACUUCAUUUGGGUUCCACCUUCAAAUGCGAUCAUUUUGGUUGGGAUGGUGGAUAGCAAUGUUAUUAUUCCACAAUUAAUAUAGGAGGAAAAGUUGGGUUCGAGAUUUUACGUACCCCACUCAUAUAUUUUCUCCCUUGUGAGGUCUUCUCUCCAACCACGUACUCAAAAAAUAAUGAUAUGAAUAUCCACCACUCUUUUGCUCGCAAACAAACAUAUUCCAGCAUCGUAGACUUUCGACAUAAUGACCCAUAUCAUAAUAGUGUGAGUGAAAUCAUUGAAUAUAAUUGUGACCAGUGACCGAUCUGCUUGGGGACAAGCUCGAAAAAAUUUCAACAGUUUGAUUACUUACAAGUAAAUACAUGUACAUAGAUCUUGUUUCUUUGCUAUCAGAAUUACAUUGAGAUAUUUAGUCAUAUAUUUUUCUUUAAUUUUAAUAAUAUAAAUAAACCUUAUAUUCUAUAAACAAAUUCAAAAAAUGACAGAUGACUUUAUUGAAUUUCGUUUUGAUUAUUAAAUUACUUUGAUGUUGUUUUGGGCUUUUUUAUUAUAAGGUUUUGGGGUUUGAUUUGUUUUAAGAAGUUAAAAACGUUUUUGUUAUGUUGUAAAUGGAAUUUGGGUGUGUUUGUAAAGUCUAUUUCAUAUAAUUUUUUUUUUUAAUAAUUUAGGCUCCUAUAUUAGAGCAGCUCCAGCGAGGGAGCCCAGCCCGAGGCGAGGGCAGGAAAAAAAAAAAAAGUCGCUCCAGCGUACAGCCCAGGCCCGGGGGUGGUGUGGGACCCACCAACUCGGGCCAGCCCGAAGGCGAGACCAGCCCGAGGUCCAACUCGCGUGUUGCUGACGUCAGCCUCGCGUCACGCUGACGUCAGUGCGCCAGGUCCAAAGUGCGCUGCCACGUGUCGCCUCCCCAGCCUUCCGAUCUGCUUCUCCAAAUUAAUCCAACGGCUGAGGCUUUUUUGGGCAAUAAAAAUAUGAAAAAAAAUCGUAAAUUUUUUUAAAAAAUUCUAAAAAAUUCUGAUAUUUUUUUUCUAUAAAUACCUAUCAAUACCCUUCACUUUCAACACCAAUCCUCAUACAUUUCAUUAUACUUCUACUAUUAUUCACUCUUUAUUCAACAUUUUCCUCUAUACCUUAUUUCCAUUUUCAACAUUUAAGUAAAUGUCUUUGUCCUUUUACUUUAAUUUAUUUUUAUAUUACUCCAUUUACUUAAGUUUACAAUGUAAAUAAGGAAGUACCCCCCAUUUGGAUUCAAAUAAAAAUACUAGAAAAUCAAAUUCCCACCAAAUCAAAAUAUGAAAAAUCGGUUUUAGUGCAAAAUACGAUUUAGGCUAAAAAUGAUGGCUCAUUAAGUCAAUAUAUACUUCAUAUUAAAAUCCCAUAAAAUCAAGUUUUCUUAUUUGAUGUGUAAGGAAUAAAAGCCGCCAAAAAUUAUCUUGAGAAAAUAAUUAUUCCGAAAAACCAUUUUUCAUACUUAGCCAAUAUUGCACCUCCGCUAAAAAAAUUAUGGGUCCGCCCGUGUCUAUAAAUACCAACCAAUACUCUUCACUUUUAACACCAAAUCCUCAUUUUUUUUUUUAAUGAAUACCAACCAAUACAACUAAUAAAAUAAAAUCUUAUCCGAUAUGAAUAGUAUUGACAUGUAGGAACCCAAAAAUCUAUCCGAANNNNNNNNNNNNNNNNNNNNNNNNNNNNNNNNNNNNNNNNNNNNNNNNNNNNNNNNNNNNNNNNNNNNNNNNNNNNNNNNNNNNNNNNNNNNNNNNNNNNUAGUAUUUUGAGUUUCCACCCAUUGCCAUGGCUAAGGGCAAUUACUAUUCAUUUUUUUGUUUUUUCACAACUUUUUUUUACUUAAAUAAUUAAUUUGGAUAAUAUUUUCGGAUAAGAUUUUUGGGUUCCUACAUGUCAAUACUAUUCAUAUCGGAUAAGAUUUUAUUUUAUUAGUUGUAUUGGUUGGUAUUCAUUUAAAAAAAAAUUAGGAUUUGGUGUUAAAAGUGAAGAGUAUUGGUUGGUAUUUAUAGACACGGGCGGACCCAUAAUUUUUUUAGCGGAGGUGCAAUAUUGGCUAAGUAUGAAAAAUGGUUUUUCGGAAUAAUUAUUUUCUCAAGAUAAUUUUUGGCGGCUUUUAUUCCUUACACAUCAAAUAAGAAAACUUGAUUUUAUGGGAUUUUAAUAUGAAGUAUAUAUUGACUUAAUGAGCCAUCAUUUUUAGCCUAAAUCGUAUUUUGCACUAAAACCGAUUUUUCAUAUUUUGAUUUGGUGGGAAUUUGAUUUUCUAGUAUUUUUAUUUGAAUCCAAAUGGGGGGUACUUCCUUAUUUACAUUGUAAACUUAAGUAAAUGGAGUAAUAUAAAAAUAAAUUAAAGUAAAAGGACAAAGACAUUUACUUAAAUGUUGAAAAUGGAAAUAAGGUAUAGAGGAAAAUGUUGAGUAAAGAGUGAAUAAUAGUAGAAGUAUAAUGAAAUGUAUGAGGAUUGGUGUUGAAAGUGAAGGGUAUUGAUAGGUAUUUAUAGAAAAAAAAUAUCAGAAUUUUUUAGAAUUUUUUAAAAAAAUUUACGAUUUUUUUUCACAUUUUUAUUGCCCAAAAAAGCCUCAGCCGUUGGAUUAAUUUGGAGAAGCAGAUCGGAAGGCUGGGGAGGCGACACGUGGCAGCGUACCUUGGACCUGGCGCGCUGACGUCAGCGUGACGCGAGGCUGACGUCAGCAACACGCGAGUUGGACCUCGGGCUGGUCUCGCCUUCGGGCUGGCCCGAGUUGGUGGGUCCCACACCACCCCCGGGCCUGGGCUGUACGCUGGAGCGACUUUUUUUUUUUUCCUGCCCUCGCCUCGGGCUGGGCUCCCUCGCUGGAGCUGCUCUUAGGUAUAAUAGUAAAUUUCUCAAUUAAGUUUGGGCUGGACAUAAAUUCGGUUGUGAAUACCCAAUAGUGGAAACUGGGAUCCAUCAUCAUCAUCCACAAAAAAAGAUCUAUGAUUUCCAAAUAUUACUCCUCACAUUGGCUGAUUGUGACCACUCUUUAUUGGCAUUGUUUUUGAAUGGUCAGAAAAAUAAUUCAUACUUGCAUAGACUGUUUUUGCUGACAAAUGGUGGUUUUGAAACCUAAAGUUAAGUCAUUAACACGUACCAAGUUAUCUAGAAACUCUUCUGUUUCUUCAUUUAUUAGAAGUUAUAUGGCAAAUUUUCUUAUCAUAGUUUACUUAUUUACGUGUUAUAAUAUAAGUAAACGAAACUAUCGAGAAUACUGCGUAUGAAUCCCAGUGGCAAUGCAUGCCAAUGUGAAAACAAUAAAGUUUCAAAGUAGUUUUUUUAUUUGGAACAAUUAUUCGGAUCCAAAACAAACCAAAUUGUCCAGACAUUACUACAGGAAAUCGUGGAAAAUGCAGUAACAAUGACAGAUCGAAGUACUUUUUUGAACAGCUAUCCCCAAACUGUAACAGACAGCUGCAGAACGACCGUGAAAAAAAGGUCUUGGAAUUACUGUCACUUUUGCUUCAAGUAAAAUAGUAAAAACUAACUAUGAUAAUUGAGUAAAAGCAAAAGUACUCUGCUGUCUGCUCCUAUUCAGGGAACUAUGGACGACUUUUUAAAGCAGCAGUCGGUGCACCCACAAACCAAAACAAAAAACCACAUAUUAGUUACUGCCCGACCGUCACUUGUCAACUCUUUUUUCUUUUCUUUUCUUUUUACUUUCAUUUUAGUUUUGAGAAAAAAAUCAUUUUGAUGUAGCAUGUACUUAUCACUCAAGUUAAUAAUGCAUAAUAUGCAUAUCAUGCUUUGUGAAUAUCAACUGUAAAUUUGGAUAUAACUUCCACAUCUCUUCUUUUAUACCUCAGUUUCUUUCUAUCUCUUGAAUGAUUAAUGAGCUCGUGCGAGAAAGAGAGAGAGAGAGGGUAUGUAAAACAUGUGUGACACUUAUAGUCAUACUCAUACGUGAUAUUACUAAUACAUUUAUAUUAUAACACGUAUAUAUAUUUAUUUAUACAUACCCUAGAUUCGUAGUACAAUUACAUAUGUAAAUUUGGGUAAACCAGAUUAUGAUUUAAUCAUAAUAUAACACAACGUAAUUGUUACAUUGAAUAAUAUGAUCGCGAUGUAUGCGCUUCUCCUGGCUUGCCAUCAAUGCCUAUGGUUAAAAAGACUGAGUAGGAAAUGAGCAUCCAAAGAACUGGGACCCAUGCCACUGAUUAAAACUCUGACACCUGCGAUUGUGCCACGUGUAUGGUCGUAAAGUUCACUUGUGCAUCGUAUGGUCUCUUUAAAUGUACAGGCGCAGAAGACUCAGAGCUCAAAAACUUUAUGUGGUUUUGUAGUUUGCGGGAAAUUUUUUAGAAUUUUCCCCAAACGAAUAAGAUCAAGAAAGCAGAGAGAGAGAGAGAGAGAGAAUGAGGAGGGGGAAAUUCUAACUGUGUACUUUAGCUUUGUUGACUACAUGGCAAAGUGGGUAGUCGACACGUUUCCAAACAGACCAUGGUUUCAAAAAAAAAUUGUACUCCUCUAGUAACAGAGAUGAGCGUGCAAGUUAACUGAGUGUACGAUACAUGGGGAGCAUAAGGCUACGUUGUUUCUUUUAAUGAAACACCAACAAGGAUUACAAAAGAGAUGAAGAAAGCAUUAGGGGGGGACCAUUUUUUUUAUUUUUAUUUUCUGGGUUCAUCUUUUAAGGGUGAUGAUGAUAUUAGGAUAGGAGUGGGCGAGUUGGGGGGACCAUGAAACCAUGUUUUAAAUUUCACUUGGAGAUGUCAUCAACUUUGGGAUAAUCAUUGUACGAGAAUUCGGACAUUAUAUUUAAAGCAUGACAAUUAUGGUAAUCAUAUUUACACUCAAACUUUACGCAUGAGCUGUUCUUGUAGAGGUAGCUAUCUUCCAGCUUUAGUAUAAAGGCAUCUUUAAUAUCCAUAAAUACGUCAUAUCAUAUGAUCGUAUAUAUCCAGAGAGAAUCAAUCUUCCUCAAAGAAGGUACACCCAAUGGAUCGAGCAGAUCUUGAGAUACAAGCCUAAGGGUGGUAAAAGUCAGUUUAAAAAGAGAAGAUGAUUGCGACCUUUCACUGUGAAAAGAAAGUCCAAAGUUCACUGUUCCUAAAGAAAAUCAUUCAAACCAACAGCACAGUACACAGCUCUGAUAUAACAUUAUCCAUCCAGAAUAUAUAGGACAGAGAGAGAGUUACAUUAGCUGCAUUAGCAAAAUUCGUUUUGGUAAAGCGAAAGGGUAGCAAAAAUCCCAUUCACAAAGAUGGUUUCAAAUUUAAACACAUGGAAAGUUCUCACCCAAAAAAUGAAACCUAAAGACGUGUGUGGAGGCAAAAACGAGACUGACAGAGAAGUUAUUGUAUGAAUCUGAGACUGCUGAGUCAAUCUGGGGGCCAUGCUUAGCUGCUUAGCGCACAACCCUCCAUCUUUCUGAGUUGAUAAAAGAAAAGUGGGUGCAGAAUAUUGCACAUAUAUAUAGAUAUAUAUAUAUAUAUACAUAUAUUAUAUGGACCCUACCAGCUAAAAGCUAAUCUCCCAUCAUUUUCAACUCCAUAUAUGUGAAACAGAAAUCUUCCCAUUUACUUCACAUUUUGAAUGAUCUGUUUCAUAUCGACAACUAAAAGGAUGUCUACUAUACAAAAUUCAAUUCCAUUGGAGCUUUGUGCCUUUAGAGGAGUCACAUGCAUGCUGCUUUGGAUGGAUAAGCCAGAGGGCUCACCAGAACCAUUGAAUUCAAUUGAUGAACCAUGUAAAAAGUGUGUCAGGUAUAUACGUAGAGCUAGGAUUUUGGUCUCCAUUCCAUAGUGCUCUUCUACUGUAACCCACUGGAAAAUUCUGCCAUACAUCAAUCAACCACUUUGAUCAUGUUUGCGUUCGGGGUAAUAUUCUCUAUAAUAAGGGAGUUUCGAAUGAUAGAGAUUUAACUAAACUCCAUACCAGUGCAUGAAUAAAACUCCUUUUCGUUUCUGCCAACGGGGUCUAGCGUAGUGAAAAAUGGCAUUGACUUGCAUACCAAUAGCUUCAAGUUCGAACCCCAUAUAUUUUAGCAGUGUGUGUGAGAAAAUCCCCUCUCUUUUCCUAACUUUCGCAAAAACUCCUUCUGGUUUCUAUUGUUAUUCCUUGACAUUACAAUUGGGUGAAAAAAGGGCCUUGGCAUUGGCAUUCAAAACUAGCUACUUGGGCUUGUCCUGGCCCACGUUUAGCUCUACGGUUGCAGAGUGUUGGUCCCAUGGCAAAUCUGGUGUUUAACUAUGGAACCAAGAAAUCCAAGGUAGGACAAAUGAGCUGUACUGUAAGGAAAGGAUCACAUAGCUGGCAAUUGUUGGGUUGGGGGCCCAGAUUUAUUUCCAAAGGAGCUUGGUCUUAUUUGUGUCUCCAAUUUGAGGCCUACCAGAAAUCACAUCACAUAAGUAUUGUACACCAUCGUCACUUUCACAUCACAUAAGGAGCUUCGUCUUAUUUCUUAUGAACAUUGUAGUCUUUAAUUUUUACUGGACAUUGUUUGUAUAGGGACCCGCGCAGGAAGAGGGUAGACUAUUAGUUAGUCCAAUGAGUAAGCUCUUAUGUGUUAGAGACGUUUGCGUAAUCCUCACGGCUUUGUCUUGUCGGUUGUAGUUUGGUUUCUCAAUAAUGUAUCUCACUUUUUCUCAACCAAAAAAAAAAAAAAACCCCCAAUUAAUCUAACUUAGCUGGAGCUGUUAGCCUAUAGGGCACAUGAAGGAAGUUAGACAGAUAUGGGUCAUACAUGUUUCCCUGAAUAUUUUGUUUGAUGAAAAUCUAAGCCCAACGAAAACAAGUCGAGCCCAGAUUUGUUUACUACCUGGAAAUUCAUACUCCACUAUUACUAAUUAAUUUUAAAUUUUUAAUAUUUUCUUUUAAUAUAAACGAUAAUUUAAACUACAAGAAAGUAAGAAAGUUACAUGUGACAAUUUCGGGUACGACCCGUUACAAAACUCGAAACUCGCACCAGAAUUUAGUAGGUUCAACCUGCAUGAUUAGAAUUCGGGUCAUUUUCGAGUCAACCCGCCAUGACCCGUUUAAUAAAUGGGUGGGUUUCGAGUCAACCCGCCAAUUCGCUAAAAUACUUAUGUAACUCGUUUAACUAAAUGAGUUAUGGCGGGUCAACCAGUUGAAAUACCUAUGUAACCCGCCAACCCGCCAAAAUACCUGUGUGACAUGCCAACCUGCUAACUUGUUUAUUUGUUUAUUCUUCAUUUUUUUAAUUUUUUUUUUAAUGUCUUUUAGUUGCUACCACUUAGCGGGUCAACCCAACACGACUCGAAACCCGCAAGAGAACUUAACGGGUCAACCUGUGCAUGACACGUUUAUUAAAUAUGUCGGGUUUGGAUUGAGCAUUCAUAUAAUCUUGACACGACACGACCCAUUAUCAACCCACACACUAUUAAUGUGUCAUGGAGAGUCAAACUUGAGAUAUCACUGUAAAUCAAGACCAUUUUCCACUGAGUUAGACCAUGUUAGCAUUCACAUUUGAACUUAUUCACUCAAAAGUUGGCUCGAAUGCCAUUGAUGAGUUAGAUCUUGAUGGUCAGAUACCUUUGAUAAAUUUUCCUCCAUUGCCAGACUUGUAAAAGCAUCCAGGAUACUCUGCAACAUUAAUCGCCAUAAUUUGCGUGCAUUUCACUAUGUGCCACGUGUAGAACUAGAACCUGUUUCUUCACAAACAUAAAUGAAACUUUGGGAUUGUUUUUCCUUUUUCUGGUGAACAAGAUAAGACAGCCAAACAUAAAAUUGAUAAUAAAAAGGAAGCACACAUAUUAUUAAUUCCAUGAUUAACUGGUCCAUGGUUGUUAUAUUGGUUGGCCUAUCAAUUACUCUUCUGUAAAGGGAAAUAAUUUCCAGCGGAAACAGCAUAAACUAACUACCGGCAGUUGGAAAUUUGAGGUUGCAAAAAGUUACUGUAUACCAAGACAGUUUUCUGUUACAAAAGUUGGUUUGCUAGUGUCAAGUACUUCGUUGACAAGUUAUAUAUGAAGUAACAAACUGAGAACAAGCUAGCCAGACACAAACUUGGGCCUCAAUAGAAAGUAGUCAGGAAGCAACACUCUGGUUGUGUCGUGGCCUAACAUGGUUGUUGUUUGUGACUUUCCAAACAAGAAAGUAUGAAACUGUUUCAAAUCAAAUGCUUUUUCAGAGUUAGACUGAUUGCGUCAUCCACACGCCUAAAAAAAUUAUCACAAUCCUAACGACCACGAGUGCAAGUUUCAGACAUUUGAGCUAGCCAGCUACCCUUUUAUCUUUACCAUACAUGCACCAAACUUGGACUUGAAAGCUAAUGAUGUCCCAAACUUAUAAGUGGGUUUCCACCCGAUUUUAACUAUUUGUCAUGAAAUGUUAUAUUAAAUGUUAAUUACGGGUUUUAUCUCUGUGCUAAAAAAUGCGAUUAGUAAUGUUGUCAAAACAUAUAACUUUGUCGUCUCGAUUGAAAUACGAAAGAGAAAAUUGGUCAAAAAUACAUUUUUGUGACAAAUGAUCAUAAGGAACGUUUAAUAUUGGUGAAUUCACUCCUUGAAUUGAUGCCCUCAAAAGUACACAUAUCCUUUGAACCAUGUAUUGAAACCCUUAAACACAAGAUUUGAAACUUCAUUUUAUAGGAGGAUCACAUAUUCACAUGAUCAUCACAAUUAUGUCAUUGACUCGUAUAUAAUAAAAAUGUUUCACACAUCAUGAUAAAAAUGUUUCAUUUGUAGUAACCGCACAUCCUUAAACACAACACACCAUUAUAAUUUCCCUAUCAUAAGAUGUCCGCUAUCUUAUCUUCCGUCUGUCCUCCUAUAUUAAAGGUUCCUUCCCUAACGUCGAAGCCCCUUUAACGGCUCUACCUGCCAUGUCUCUGUUAUUCAGUUAUUCCCUCUCCCUUUUCUUCUUCUUCUUCUUCUUCUUCCUCAACCUCCAUGCUCUGAGGGCCAGCCCCGACACCGGAAUCUUAUCAUCAGAGCAUACAAAUCAUCACUUCACGUUGCAUGGCACACGACGUUACGUCUACUUUACAGGAAAACCUAGGUGGGUGCGUCCCAUGACGCCCAUGACACUCACCUACGCUUUCUCUCCUGACAACAUGAUCAACUCCUUGAGCUUGUCCGAUAUACGACAGGUGUUCAAACGGGCUUUUGCCAGAUGGGCAUCCGUGAUUCCGGUGAGCUUCGCCGAGUCCGAGGACUAUGGCUUCGCGGACAUCAGAAUAGGGUUUUAUAGUGGUGAUCAUGGGGACGGAGAGCCGUUUGAUGGGGUGCUUGGGAUUUUAGCCCACUCGUUUUCACCGGAGAGCGGGAGGCUCCACCUCGACGCAGCGGAGACGUGGGCGGUGGACUUUGGGAUGGAGAAGUCCCCAGUGGCCGUGGACUUGGAGUCGGUGGCCACGCAUGAGAUUGGUCACUUGCUAGGGUUAGGGCAUAGUUUGGUGAAAGAGGCUAUAAUGUACCCGAAUUUAAAGCCUAGGGAUAAAAAGGUUGAUUUGCAGCGUGAUGAUAUUGAAGGAGUGCAAGCUCUUUACGGAUCUAAUCCAAAUUAUACGGUUGGAGAUUUAUCGGAGUCAUACAUUUCGACAAAUUUGGCCGUGGAUUUCAGAACUUCUAGACAAUCAAAAUGGGCCAAUUUCAUCCUGGCUUUGAUCAUAAUCUGUUUGUGCAUAUGUAAUUGAUUAGCAUCACAACUUUGUUUUCUUUUUUACUUUUUUACUUUUUUUUAAAAUAGAAAAUCUUUCUUCUUCUUUUUUUUUUUUUUUCUUUUUUCUUUGGUUGGGGGCGAGAUCAGAUCAGAGAGAGUAAUGGUCCUCUUUUACAUUAAUUAGCAUAAAGGUUUGUUCUUUUUCUUUUUAGAAGGUUUUGAAGUUCACAAAUGUCACAUUUGAGCUUCCAUGUUUAAGUUUCAAUAUGGUAGUUGCUAUAAAAUUCUCGACAUAAACAUGAAAAAUAGGUAUAAGUUGUCUGUGCUCCAACCUAGCCCAUAUAGGCAAACUUGGGCCAGCACUAUAUGACAUCAAGUUUGGAUCAAGUUGGGCUCCAGUUGUGCCUGAUCUCUAAAAUAUACCUUAAACCAAUGUUUUUUUUUGGGUUAUUUGCUAGGGAGAAGGAAGGGAAAGUAUUAUAUUAGGUUGCCUCAAGAUUUUCUCCUACGUAAAUCGAAUUCGGGUGCACAUUUGAGGAGAGGGAGAGAGUUUGGCCCACUUUUACACUGUAGUGCCACCACAUGUACUACCUUAAACCAAUGUAAACGAGAUGCUAAAUAUGUAGAUGAAAAAAAACUUUAAUAUAAGUUGCAAUUAGUCAUUAUUAUUGGGCGCACCAACCAGAUCUCUAUCGUUUUCCUACGUGGGAAAUCAAGCGAUAAAGUCAAAUUGGAGUCUUAAUCAAAAGGUAUUCUUUAAACCAAUAUAAGGAAAACAUGGUGCCCAAUGAUGUGAUUAAUUUGUUUGGACCCUUUGGACUUUAGACGACAGCAUUGAUUAAAACAUAUUAUAUACAUAUAUACAUAUAUAUAUAUAUGUGUGUACAUAUACCAUGAUGCAAGUGUUGAACAAAAAUGAAUCUAUAAAGAGAAUUUCAUUUGUCAUUAAAGAAACACAAACAAACAAACAAGAAGAAGAUCUAGCAGGAAGGUGUGGAAGCUGGCGGAGUAAAAUAAUAUCCAUAUAGAUUAGAUACAAGAAAGAAAAACGAAAAAAGUAUUGGUGGGUGGUUGGGAGGUCGAUGGCAUUGGCCAUUGGCAACUCAUUUCUCUCCCUUCCCUCUCUCAUUUUCUCAGAUGGAAAGCAACUUUCAUCUCAAAAGUCAGUGAGCGUGUGUCUGUUUAUAAAAAUGAUAUCUUGACCUACAAGCAUAUUUCAAUUUUUAGUUAUCAUCCACGGACAAAGAAGUUUAUAGCUCUAAUGAUUAAAGGUAUUAUUUAUACACAAGGUCUUCCAUUUUAAUUUCUCUUUUUUUAAUAUCGCUUAUGUAAAAAGAAUAUAUUAUCACAGAUGUGUGGUUUGAUUUGUUUGAAAACAAUCUUGAAUAUUCCUCAUGGGGAUUUUUUUUAAUUUAGAAAAAUUAAAAAAGAAAUCUUUAUUGCUCAUGAAUUCAAAAUUUUAAUUUUUUAUAUAAUAUAAGCGAUAAUUUAAACUACAAGGGUAUCGAGGUUUUUUUCACACACAUUAUCAAUAUGUCAUGGAAGUUCGAAUAUGAGACCAUUGAUCUACAAAUUAAGACUAUUUUUCACUAAACUUACUAAUUUUGAAUCCUAGUAAAUGUUUCGUCACAAGUUCGUCUAUUGGCAUUAAAAAAGAAUAGGAAAAAAAUAAUCCAUGUUUAGAAUUUUCUUUAGGUAGCAUAGCAUGCGCAUGCACUGUGAUAAAAUCAAGAAAAAUUAAUGCUUAAGUGCUUGACUAGUGGACAUCUUUAUACUAAAGAACCCAUUAUCAAGAUCUUGUCUAAUGUACCUUAUAUUAAAUAACCCUUAUAUCAUCGUGAUAAUCAUUUGUGUCCCUGCCAGAGUCAUACAUUAUAUAUUUCACAAAUCCAAGUGAAAUUGACCAACAUGUUUUAUGAUAUAAAAAAUGCGGUUUGUGAACUUGAGAUCAUCUCUCACAACCCAAGUAAAUGUUUAUAUGUUUCCCUAUAAUAAUGGCGGUGAGAGAUAUUCUAAAUAAUUGCUUAGAAGAGAGUCUUUACAUGCCGAUAUCAUCUAACUUAAUAAAAAAUGACAUUGGUUUGUAAAGGUGAAUUAAGACAAAAAAUUUCGAAUGCAAGAAUAACUUCUCUUAAUCAUUUGAGCUAUAAAUUCUUUACGUGACAAUAAUAAUAUAUAUUUAAUUUGACUCACUUUACACAUAAGAGGACAUUUCUGAUGGUGGCGAUUACUUUCCCUCAUCAUCACGACAUCGAGAGUACUACUUAAAAACGCGAAAAGAUUUCCAGUGGGGAGAGAGUUGACCUUUCGAUGUUAAUUAAUGAAACCUAAGUGGCUGAUAUAAAGCAACUCCAUGUGUUCCAAAACUUUGAUUGCAAAAUCCAUUAUUUCAGACCACAAAUUAAGAUUUGUUUUUUCUAAGUGAAGAGGUCAACUAUCGUUCAUUAGACGACACUGUUUUUUUUUUUUUUUCGGAUUUGAAAUUCUUAUUAAUAUUAUAUAUAUAUAUAUAUAGAGAGAGAGAGAGAGAGAGAGAGAGAGAGAGAGAGAGAGAGAGAGAGAGAGAGAGAGAGAGAGAGAGAGAGAGAGAAACAGAAUCAAUCAACUAAAUUCACUCUAAGAUGACACCCGUAAGCACAAAAUCAAGAAGAUAUUCUUGGUCUUACGUAGAAGAUGACACCCAAUAAGCACAAAAUCAAGAAGAUGACACCAAUUAAUUUUCUCUGGAUGUUAGCGUAGAGGAAAUGCCUACAUGCUUAGAAAUUAGAAUUUUGACAUGUUAAAAGCCCCAAAUCAUCACGCAAACAAUCAUAUAUUAACAUCACCAAGAGAGAACAAAAAAUAAAAUUAUCCAAGAUUAGUAUUAUUUUUUGGCCAAGAACUCUAAUAUGUUAUUUGCAAUAAUACUUGUUAAUCACGAGUGUAUAUUCAGAUGUAUAUGAUUUCAUAUCAUCGAUAACUUUGAUUGAUAAUAAAAUAAGAAGUGCUUUCUCGAAAUUUAAAUAUCAAACCGUCAAAUUUUAGCUCAUCAAAUAGACAUCAUAUAUAGAAAAAUAUUAUUUUAUCAAACUGUGAAUACGGACCACUGAUCAAAUUAGUUCUUGUCGAGCUAUGUAAGAUUGCUAAAUCCAUUGAAUUUGUAACAACUAGAUUGAAAAUCAAGGAAAUUCAAGAUAAGCAUAGAGAAUCCAUUUCCAUUAAGAGAAACAAAUUAGUGACGAUCUUUUAUGAUGAAAGAGGAUAUAUAUUGAAGAUAAGCAUAUAUGCUUUCUACUAGUCAUUCUUUGUUACUAAUUUGGUGCAGCUCAAAAUAAGUAAGAGAAUCAAAUAUAAAGAAGGACUGGGGUUGUAUUGGAACCAACGAAAAUAGCACUAUUUUCAUGUGCUUUGUUGCUAGAAACUGCAAAUACAACUUACUGAUGCAGCUUUGCUUGUAAGUGGGAUAAGAGGAGGUUGAGGGAAUGAAGGCGAAGCAAACCAUGUGACCCAUCUUAAUGACAGUUUGGAAACAAAGGAAAGUGUGGACCAAUGGAGGAAACGUCUCUUUGAUAAAUCAUGUAUUAUUUUUAGUAAGUUUCCUUCUUCAUUAAUUUUUUUUUUUAUACAAACGAUACUUUAAUUUAAUGUAACCUUUAGGGAGGGGGAGUUAAACUCAUGUGCAGAGUAUGAAGCACAUUCUCUCUAACCGACUUGGCUAAAGCCAUGUUUCUAGGACUUCAUUUUCUAUUGAGUAAUUGUAUAGACAUCAAAACAAAAUAUUAAACUUUUAAAUUCCAAUUGAGGUUGUUUGGAGAGAGAGAGAGAGAGAGAGAGAGAGAGAGAGAGAGAGAGUAAUUUGAUAGAGUUGGGCACAUUUGGGAAUGCUUCUUUAAGAAGCACUUCUGUUCAUAACCGCUUUUAGUAAAAGUGCUUUUAUUAUAAAAAUGUUGAAAUUUUCGAUUAAAAAAUUCUAGUGCUUCAUGAAAAAGCAUCUUGCAGUGCUUCUCUAGAAAGCACUUUUAUGACCCAGAAGCACUUCUAAAUUUUUUUGUCAAAUAUUGUCAUAAGCGUUUUUAACUGUUUCAAAAGCACUAUCAAACAGGCCAAUGAAUGUCUCUUACUAACAAAUAAUUUAAAGUAAUUGUACAGAAUUCAAAUCAACAUAUAUAAGUUUUAAUUCUUAGAUGAUGGGACGCUAUUUGAUUUAUUUCAUUUCUAGUCUAUUCUGUUAAAUAAUAUAUUCAGAUUAUUUGUUGACUGAUAUUUUGGGGAAAGCUCUGAUGACUUUUUGGUAUGAUUUGUGCGUAAUUUAUUGAGUGUUUGUAAGUCCAAUCAACCAGAGAGAAUAAAAAUAAUAAGAAAUAAUAAUAAUAAUAAUAAUAAUAAUAAUAGUAAGAAGAAGAAAAUAGAAAUGGAUAUGGCAGAAAAAGAUGGCUUCAUUGUCAAUUCAAGAGACCCCCAAUGAGGAGGAGUUUUGUUGCUUUCUCAUAAAUGGCCAAAACACGAACAGUGGAAGAGACCUUAUCAGCUUGUGUACUUUGGAGAUAUUUCAGAAAUGAGCAUGUGUAAGCAGAAGAAAAAAUGAUUAAGAAUUCAUGAUUUAAAUGAAUGGCCUAGGAAGCAACAACAUCCACUCAAAUUUCACAUCUGCAACCCUCAAAUUCCAAGCACUCACUCAGCCUCCCUCACAAACCAAAAACAAAAAAGAAGAAAAAAUAAUAAAAAUCUUGGGAGAAAACAUACUUCUUCCCUAGUUUUUCAUAUUGGUGACAAUAAUGGAGAGGGCCUAGCUAUCUAUUAAAGGCCGUCCUUCAAUGAAUCUGUAAAAGUUAGCAGCUUUAGGUACUAUGAAUUCUUUGGUGAGAAGGCAUUCAAUUCUCCUCACUCAUCAGCAAAAGCAGAGAGGAGGGUGCAAGUAAGUUGUUUUUUUUCUAACUCCCCCAAGAACCCCCUGCUGUGCCAGAGACAAACCCUACACUUUCACAAAUCAAAUACUCUACUCUCCUUGUACGUACAAAUCAAAUACUUCUUCCCUACGUAAAAAUCCGUCGUCUACGACCUUUUUUUUUGUACAUUUGGGUAAUCAAAUUGAUAAGAAGAGAUCACAAAAUCUGUACUAGUUUAAUUAGCAUCAAUAAUCCUACCUUAAUUGAUAAAUUAUCACGACAUUAAGCUUUUCAUUGAUCCGAACAAAGCUUACGUUAUUUUAUUUAUAACUUAAUUACUGAAAAACCACACCACAAAUUAAGAAAACAAAACACUAGACCUCCCUCCCAUUCCCAUAUGGAAAACAAGUUAUAUAUAAUAUAUAUAUAUAAUUAACAUAAUCUACUUCUAUAAACACUUAAACCCUUUUAGUUUGACGAGGCUGCUGAUCAUCAAGGCUAGCUAUUUUGAUAUCACACUCACAAUCUUAUAAGCUGUCUUAACACAUUACAUCCUUGAGAAGCUUGUACCUUCGAGCUGUGGGUCUUGGUGACGGCACGCCGCUGUUCUUACUAGCCUUCUCCCCGCUGCCGCUGCCGCCACCGUCUUGAUGAUCACGGUGUUGUUGAUGAUCGUGUUGCUUGAUCUUGUGGUCACCGGAAUAUUCGGACCUGCUCGAAGCGCCUCCGGUCUCAACUCCCCCAACCACGCUCGAUUUCUUGGAAGAGCCACCGUGCCUUGCGGUGCUCCUCUCUUGAUCACUUCGGCACCAAUCGCACAGUUCAAUUGGCUCCGCGUACUCACUAUAAAAGUUACUACAAUACCUGCAUAUAUUUGAAUACAUAUUAAGUUUUGUUUUUUCAUUUAUUCAACAAACUGUCCUUCAUGAGAUUUGAUUGCGAAGGGUUUCACAGAGUAAAUAAUAAGCACAAUUAAUCAGGAGCCAAAAAAAAAAAAAAAAGAGUAACACAAUUUCACAUGGGUAUCAUGCUUAAUUAGUAAAUGAUUUAUUUAUUUUUAGUGUCAGCAUUAAUUAGAUUAUGACAUUAUAAACACGUUUAUAUACAUAUAAAUGUUGAUGAUGACAUAGGAUGGUUUUGCUAUGGUACUAUGAUGAGCAUCAUAUAUAUGCAUGGUAUGGUACCAAUAAUAAUAUAGGUUGGUUGGGUGGGUGUUUUAUGGAGAUGGGUUUCUACCUAUUCAGUUACCAGUAGCUAUCACACAUGAAUCAUGAUGAUCAUCAUGAUGAUGGUGAUGAUAUAAAACAUCAUGAUUUCUAUUUAUACACACCCACUGACUCACACAUACAUACAUAUCUAUACACAAGCUAGCUAGCAUAUAUUAUAUAUCCAUAUAUAUAUAUAUAUAUAUGUAUGAUGCAUGGCAUGUAUAUGAUGAUGAUGGUUAUGGUGAUGAUGGUGAAAAUCCAUACGAGUGUUGAAAGCGGUUGCGGCAUUUGUUGCAGCGGAAGAGCUUGUCAGGAAAACCCACGUCACCACACAUGCAGCAGACAGUUUGAAGAUCCACCAUGGCUGAUUUUUCUUGAAGCAAUUCAAGAGCUACGAACCCUUUAAUUAACACAAAGAAUAUUUUCUCUGUAUCAGGAACAAACCCAAGAGCCAAAAAACCAAACCCAAGCAGAGAGAAAAGAUACACAGAGAGAUAACCAAAAGGAGAGAGAGAGAGAGAGAGAGAGAGAGAGAGAGAGAGUUAAAUAUAAAGAGAAGAGAUGAGAACUAAUGAUUUUAAGUCGGUGUGUAAAUUCCAUGUUUAUACAUUAAAUAAUUAUAAAUUAUAAAUUAUUAUAAAUAAAUAUAUAUAUAUAUAUAUAUAUAUAUAUUGGAGGAGAUAUAUACACAGGUAGACCACAGGUUGCUUGCAGUCGUUUUCAGUUAGGGCAGGGAGGAGAAGAAUGGUGAACCUUAAAAAAGAGGUGGGAAAAUGACACUUCUGCCCCGGGCUGAGCUUGCCUUCUUCCCUACCUAUCAUUUCUCUUUUGCAAUUCAAUGUCCAUAUCAUAAAUAAAAAAUAAUAAAAUAAUAAAAUGGCAUGUUCCAUCCCAAUAGCUAUCACUACGCUCCUAUUUAAUUGAGUGUGAUGUACGCACUUGGAUUUAUAUAUUUGUUUGUGUAUGAACUUUUUGCUCACAUUUCAGAUUUCAUCGUACACUAGUAACAACUUUUUCUAUAUAGAUAGUGUCAUUAUUUUUCUAUUGAUAUUAAUUACUUGCACUUUACAUCUUGAUGUGGUUGCUGUCUACAUUUUUUAUAUUGAAACAAAUGGGGGCAAAAGAACAACUUGUUGGUUGCCUUGAAUAUAGGCGCAUGAAGCAUUCCUUCAUCAAUACUCAAAUGCAUCAUGAGAACACAUUGGAAAUUUUAGGUCAUAAUUAAAUUUAAAUUUUACUACGAACAAGAUAUUCCACUUUAAAUAGAUUUAUUAAGAAUAAAGAACUUGCAAUACGUCGUCUUAAUUAUAACUCACACUAUAUAUUCAAAUGUAGAUAUUUACAAGUUAAUGUGUUAUAUUGUUUCUUAUAAGAAAACGUUUUAAAUCAUAUUGACACAUUUAGAUGCUUACAUUCUAAGCUUAUAUAUGUUUUAUAGUGUAUAAUAAGAUAAUUCAUUCACUAGCUAUGCAAGCCGGUGUAAAACCAUCCCACCUCAUCAAAUUUUGGAUUGAAGGACUAUAUUAAGUACCAACCAAUUAUGCUUCAGGUCAUCAAACUAAACGUCAAUGCUUACCCUUUGCCUACCUCCGAAGUUGAAUUUCUAAUAGAAUAAUAUAUUUGCAAGUUGGUAAACAACUUAAUUUUUUAACUAAUAGAGAUGAGGAAUUCGAAUUUGCAACAUCUUUUAAUAUUGAUAAGAUUAGUAAGUGAGAAAUUAACAUAUACGUAAUGCAUAAUAUUAUGUUGUUUUAUUAUUUUAUCAUAUUUGCAAGAAGCUUGCAACUCAAAUGAUUAAGAGCAUUUAUCCUUAUAAUCAAAGUUUUAGGUUCGAUUCCCUCUCCUCUAAUAUCGGUCAUAUCAUUUUAUCCUCUUUAAACAAAAUGGGCUUAUAUUACCAAAUUAUUUUACCAAAGUGUGCAUUAAUUUCGAGAUAUUUCUAAAAGUUACACCAAACCUUGAGUUGGCAAAAACAAGUGGGGAGCAAUUUCACGCGCUUUUGGAGAAGCACGGUUGCAAGUUCCAAGCAUUGCAGUGUGGUAAAAGGGUAAAAAGUAAAUAGUAUGGUCAACAUUUCAUUGGGUAAAUUAACAGUUUAGUCAACUUAUAAAGGUCGGGAUAUGGCCGUCAAUAACCUAUUUGUAGUGGAUAGUUUAGGAAUAUUAAGAAUUCCACGUACAGUAUUGCUUUUGCUACCUUUAGACAAAGCCCACACCACUAAAAAUAAAGCAAACCUGCGAUUUUGCUACAGUGCUUCGAGGGGUAUAAAUAUACGAAACAGUACCGUGAUCAUGACGGUCCAACAAGGACUGAAAGCUACCAAAGAGAGAGCGUAAGCAGAUCAAUCCAACGGCCAGAGAUCGGUUUCAAUGUGCAACUCAUGUGUGAUAUUAUAAAAUUGUACCUCCCCACAAGUCGCUGAUAAGCACAAAGUGGGCCCAGAUUUCACUUUUGGUCUGCUUUUAUUUCGAAUUUAUUUAUGGGCAUGCGAGUACCGGUUUGAGCCUCCAAUUACUGGUGCCUAUUUGCCCUUUUCAGAAGAAAAUGUAAUUUUUUAUGGGGAUUCUUUUGUCACUUACUGCUUUCCUUUUUCAUGUACUUUUUAUAGUUUUAAAAUACCCAUUUUAUUCUUACUUAUCCUCUUUUCAGAAAUUAAAGUUGUUUUUUUUUUUUUUUUUUUUUUUGGGGGGGUUUUGGGGGGGGGGGGGGUGUGUGUGUGGAAAAUAUCUUCUCCACCACACCUCACCUCACUCUUUUCCCUAUGUUGGGUAAGACAUCACUGCAUGGAAGCGGAUAAGAGAAACUAGGGUUUGGUAUUUCAAACUAUAUAUCGAGGAAGUUGGCCAAAUUAGACCCAUUAGCUUGAUUUUGUGUGGUUUUUUUGUAUGUUGGAUGAGACAUGACUGCAUAGGAGCAGAUACAGAUACUAGCUAGGGUUUGGCAUUUCAAACUGUAAAUCAAGGAAGUUGGUUAAUUAGACCGAUUAGCUUGAUUUUGUUCGGUUUUUUUGUUUGUUUUAAAAUUAGUGUUAAACCGAAUCAAACCGGCUAUUUGUUUCUACAUGUAUUGAUGCUAUUAAAUGAGCUUUAACCUUAUCAUACACUUCUCUCAACAUUGAAUCAACCCAUCAAUAACCUUAAUUUCUUUCUCUUCUAUCGCUUCUCUUGGAACCGUUGUAUAUCUCUUUUCUCUCCAUCUCUCUUUCGGUCGUCUGUAAAUCAUUUCUUAUUUUCUCUCACAUUGCAAAUAUCGCCGUAAAUACCAAUCGUGCCGUGAUUUCAUGAAAUGAUUAAGAUAAUUAAUUUAAAUGUAAAGGGUGUUUUGAUAAUUAACAUUGUUCUACUUUAAGCCACUUAUUGCUUUCUCUUUCUUAGCAUAGAUCAAGAAUUUUUGACGGUUUGAUUAAAGGAAUUUCUCCUUAAUCGAGCUAUUGGAGUUGCUUUCAAUGACUAAACACCACCAAAUUAAAGUUAAAUAAAUCCAAAAUCACAUCUCAGAUCCGCUCGGCCAACAUUAAUCUUAUGGACUAGCAUUAUUUCUUAUGACAUUUCUUCCUUUAUUAUUGUCCUAACACGCACGUUGAUGGAUAAAUUAGUUAUAAAUCAAUUAGAAAGGUCGGCAGAAGGAGCUAAUCAUCAUCAACUGUCCUUAAAAAAAAAAAAAAAAAAAAAAAAAAACUCUAGCAGUGGGGCUGAUGGAUGGUGAUGGUGAUGAUCGUGAAGGAGGUGAUAGGUGGGUUGGCAAAGCUACCUCCCCUAAUCCCUUGUGGGGUUAGGAAAUUUAAUUUGAUAUUAAUCUCUAAAUUCUGAAUCAACUAUCACAAACAACGACACAAAACUAACUUAGCCAUCAUUCUUAACUAACUAACCCAUAAUUAUUCUUCAAAAUAUUUAGCUACUUUGUCAUCAUAUCUAAAAGCAAUCAUCAAAUCAAUUAUAUGAUGAGAAAAUUAAACCUAAUCUAUAUGAUAAAAAAAAUAAAAAAAUAAAAAAUAUUAUCACCAUUAUCAACAACAGUAAAAGAUAAUCAAGUGAUGGAGUAACAGUAAUAUUGUACGAGGUAAUUAGAUGGUUGGGUGGGAGGGGACAUAUGUAAACCAAAAGAUUGAGUCGAGCAAUCCGGCCACCACAAUCGCAAUCGAGAAAAAGGUAUCCAGGCAGGCAAAUGACGAAUUCAUGUGGUUUAUAUAGGUCGAGUAGAAUGGAUGGUGAAAUGUGUACUUAUGUAUUAAUGUUAUACUUUAAUUUCAUAUCACACGUGAAUUAAUAACAUUACGUAACGAUAUUCUAAAAUUUAUGUACGAUCACUCAUGUAUGGUAUGUGUAAAGCUAUCCUCCAUUCCCCAGGUGGAGAGGAUGCCACGUCUCCUUUUGUAUCAGCAGUUCUUAAUCAUCAUGGAUUAAAUUCUUAUGUUAGACACGUUACAUACAUGCAUGAUUACUAGAUGUACACAUUGCAUGCAUAUGCUAUAUCAACGAAUAUUCAUAGAUAUAUGCAUGCACAUGCAUGCAUUCAUGUUGCCAUAGGGCAAGCUAGUGUUUUAUCUCUGGGGACCAGGGCUAUAUAUAAAAGAAAAGAACAUUUGUGAGGGUGUACCUAUUUUGGGGUGUACUCAAAGUAUAUAUGAAACUAAAAUGUGGUUAUGCAUAUGCCAAGUAAGUUAAGUCAUCAUCAAAUCAUUGAAAGAUGGAUCGACCCAAGCCCAGCUGCUAGCCUCCCUGCAUGUGGCAAUUCAAGUCAUCAUGUUGCACAAAACGUUACUUCCACGGUUACAUGAUCCGAGCGAGCUAUAGCGAUCAUGGGAGUUAUAUACAUCUAACUAAAGUAGAAGAGAUGCAUGUUAGUCGGUAUGAUUACUUAAUAUUAUAUGCAAUAUAAGAAUAUUAAUUUUAAAACUCAUCUGCCGUUCGUGAAAUUUGAACUGAUGAUAAUUUCUAAGAGAGACCACAUGCCACACUAGUAUUUUCUAGUGAUCUUAUAUGGUAAUUUCGAUAUAUCUUUUACAUUGUCACACUACUCAAUACCAAUGCUUUUAUAUUGUCUGCAUAUUUUCAAUUUUAUCAAAAUCGUCCCAGAGAGAGGUGGCAAAACAAAAGGGCAACGUCAACAACCACACUCAAGUGUUUCCCAAAAGAAAGACAAUUUGGCAGCACCACUUUUAAUUCCAUUGCUGACGACCAGAGCCCAUGAAUCACAUUCAUUGGGACCGCCUAAGAUUUGUACCACACUUUUCAUUUCAUAUUUGGGAAAUUCUACACUCUGAUUGUGCAGACAUUCUUAAGUGCCCACAUACAAUCUUAACCGCCCACGUGUACAUGAUCUGCACAUGCAUUCUAAUGUUGAGAUAAAUUAGAGAAAUUAUUGUGUGUCCGAUUAACACUACACUAUUCGAACUCGUUUUCUUAUUAUUUGAGUAUUUUUUUUUUAUGACUUUAUUGAAAUAUGCAUUUGAAAGAUUCUUAUGAUCAUCUAGUUGCUGCAUUUGAGAAAUCAUUUGAAUUCAAAAAUAUUUAAAGGAUUCUUAUGACUGUCUUGAAAUAUGAAAGAGAUAAACUUAUGUAUCAUUAUUGUGUAUAACCUUCCUUUAUGUCACGUGAUGAGAAAAUUAAAGAAUCGAACAUUUUUCUUCACAUAUAAGUAGGGGAUAAUUAGGUUUUAAUUCUCAAUUUGAAAUUUUUUACCAUCCAUCAAAUUGAUCAUCUUAAUUACUAAAUUCCCAUUUGAGAAAACUUUAGGCACCCCAAACCAAGAGCAUGCGAAAUUGCUACUUAGAGAUGGUGAAUAUGAUUUUCCGAUUAUGUGAGAUUAGUGCUCAAGUCAAUCACACAACACAAGAAAAAAUAAUCAUAGUUUACGCCAAAAAAACCUUCAUCUUGCUGGCAGGAAAAAAAAAAAAAAAAAACUUCAUUUCAUUGUUGGAUUUAAAAAUAUGAAUACUUUAUGCAUCCAUCACUAGAAUGAAAAUGAAGUGAAAAGACAUCACAUAAGAACUCAUAAGUGAAAAUCCACUUAAAGAAGAUCCGUUUUUGUUGACAAUUUUCGACUUCUUUUAUCCUCACUUUAUAAUUGCUGUUGUGAGAUUUGAAAGCUUCAACUCACUAAUAAAAUAAGGUUAUAAUUAGGUUAAAUAGUCUAAAACCUCAUUUUCAGAAUGGCUCUUCCACCUUAAAGAAUUUAAAAAUAGAGAUAUACAGCACUGAUUGGAAUCGACCCUACGUAAUAUAUCUAUAUAGUUCUUUUUUAUUGGGAGAUUUCUCAAAUACUGAAUACCUUGUGAGGUCUAAUAUAAAUUUUCCUUCAAUAAUUUGAAUUGUCUAUUUUUCAAAUCUUCAUUUAUAAAUCAUCAAAUAAAAAAUUAUACACAUUGAAAACCAUUAAGACAUCUAGUUGUUGUUAUAGAAAUAAAGUCUCACAUCGGAAACUUGACAAAAUAAAAUAUAACAUAUAAUGAAUGAUUCCACUACUAAUAUUACUAAGGCCUUUUGUGAUAAAACCUCACACCUAUUGAGAUUUGUAUGUAGUUAAGUUGAGGACAAUAUCGAUGUCGCUAAUAGUGGGCCGCUGACCAAAAGAUAUGGUUCUCUUUCCAAUGGAGAUAUUAGCUAAAGUUGAUAUAGAAGAAUUUGUUAUCAUUUUUAGCUACCGUUUCUGUGGUCUUUGUCAUUGCCUAUAAUCCUAGCCCGCCGUCGCCUACCUUGCUAUUGCCACCGUUGCCACUUACCUAGCUAUUGUCGCCGCUACCGUCUACCUUGCUAUUGCCUUAGUUGCCGCCACCCCGCCAUCCAUCACCAUGCCGAAUGUUGAUGCCUUUAUUUUUCACUUACUUCUGGUUUUGACUUACCUACUGUCGUGGUCACGGGGUUUCUAUAUUCCGCCUUACGUAAUGCCUUGCUUUUAUGUGUUCUGCCUUAUCUACUACUGUGCUUACAUAAUUUCUGUGUUCUGCCUUACCUACUGUCGUGGUCACAGGGUUAAUGUGUUUUGCCUUAUCUAUUGUCAUGUUCACAGAGUUUCUAUGAUCUGUCUUACCUACUGUCCUGCUCUCAAAGUUUCUGUGUUAUGCUUAUAUGCAUUCUGCUAUGUGCUAUAUUUGUUAAGGUUUGCUCUUGUGUUUAUGCUACAAACUUUGAUUUGGUUUGUCAAUCGUUUCACUCGUGGUUUAUAACAAGACCUUUUCUACAAUUGUUCGAUUGGUCAAUGUCAAGUAUGGUGUUCUGUGACUCACUUGUCAAGUUGGGUAUGCGAAACAUCUUUGCCUCAACUUGAGGGGGAGUGUUGGCGAGUCUUUAUUUAGUUAGGAUUUUGGUUCCUUAUUUAGUGAGAAUGUUGGUUACUUACCAAUUAUUAUUUAGUCUUAUUGUAAUAAAGAUUUAUUUCCUAUUUUAUUUAGAGUUGUACUUAUUUAUAAAUACCUCAAUAUUGGAGAAGAAUAAAGAUAUGAGCAUAUCAGAGCAUAAUUGAAUAUUUGCCCUACUUUAGUUGACAGUUGUGAGCAAUAAAGUAAACGAAUAUGAUGCUUCAAGAGAACACAAAAAUGAGUGUUAAAUAAUAUACAGAGUCCCACAUCGGAAACUUAACAGAAUAAAAAGUCCCAUAUAAUAAAUGGUUCCACUCCUAAAACAUUAAGACCUUUUGUAUAAAACCUUACACAUGCUAAACCUAUAGUUAAGUUGGAAUAAUAUCGAUGUUGCUAGUGGUAGGCCAAGAGUUCAUCCAUUUGAAAUCUUAACAUGGUAUCAGAGUGGGUCGAUUGACUAGGCCCGAUUAAAUCCAAAUCAAACAAAAAUCCCAAAUUGAACCAAAACCGAACAAACCCCAAAUUGAAAAUAAAAAAAAGGGUGACCGAUGUGGAAUUGGUUACACGUGUAGCCCACUAAAAAGUGGUCCCACGUUAGGAGAAAUGUUGAAGAAUACACAGUGUCUCACAUCAGAAACUUAACAAAAUGGAAAGUCUCAUAUGUUGCUAGUGGCAAGCCAAUGGUUCGUCUUUCUGAAAUCUUAACAAUGAGAACCAUUAGUUGAGUUGUCAAAUUGUUUCAAAUUCAAGGAGAUGAUAUUAGAAGGUAUACAUGAAGGAUAGACGGUUUAAAUCAUCAAAAUACAAUGCGAGUGAGCCCACAAGAAUGCCCCAAUAAACGUAUUUGAAAGAUCCAUCAACUGAAACUUUAUGUAUAUCUAUCUCAUUCUCUUGAGGGAUCCUUUAAAUAGAACGCCUUGUGCGGUCCACUACGAAUUUUAUUUCAACAAUAUAAAUCAUCUAUUUUUAAAGUCUUCAUUCAUAGAUCAAAGUUAAACUAACCAUCCAUUACAACCUCCUACACUUUCAAGAGACAUGGUCCCUUGCAAAUCCACCUUCGAUUAGAAUUUUCUUAAGCGUGCUACUUGAGUCACCUCCUAGAUACUAAUAUAAGUCAAUGAUUCAAAAAGUCUAUUUUUUGGGUAUUUUUUCAAAAAUGCCAAAAUAAAAAAUAAAAAAACAAAACCCCCUUGUAUCCGAAAUCAUUUGACCACUAAAUUAAAUGAUUGUCAUUCUAGUGUUUUCUUAAAUGGUUUGUCUAUUUCGUUGGUCAAAAUUGGAAGUCUUAAUGGCUUCCAAUUUAUCUGUUGUUUUUCGAAUAAUCUUUGAAUGAAGACGUAAAAAAUAAAAUCACUUGAAUCAUUAAAAUACAAUGCGAAGUUCACCUUAAAGCACUUCCACCCUUCCCCUUUUGUCAUGGCAAAAAGGAGCAUAGGCGCCAAAAAACAACCUCCACAAAGGAAAAGUUGCCAUGGCAAGAAGUAGGCCCACGAAACUGGGCCAGCUCGAAGACAAGACUUGCCUAGGCAAAACGACUAAUUUAAAUACCAAAAAAAUUACCAACAAAUCAGAAUUUUUUUUUCUAAUAAAUACCUAACCAUGUUCUUCACUUCCCAUACUAAAACCCAUACCAAUUCCUCUCCUUAUAUCUCAUGUAAAUAGUGGUUAUUCUUGAGUUGUCAUGACAAUAGAUGGGAAUGCAUCAAAAAAUUGUUAAAGCAGUCACUAUUCAAAUGAAUAGUAUUUGUCCUUACUUACCCUUACCCUUCAUCAUGGCACAGUAGAGUGGAGGUCCUCUUACAAGAGUACAAGACCAUCCUUCAACUAGCUAAAGUUAUAUACCCGUGAAUGUGUUUCACAACCGACCCAAUCGCGGGGCUCACUGGAUUUGGUUCAGGUCGGCUAGGGUACGGCCCAGAUUUUGUGUACCACUUGUCGUGCAAGAAUUCCCAACAACCAAUCUAUCCAGAUGAAAAAGCACAAACAAUACAGAUAAAUACAGAUAAAUUGUUAGCAGAACUCAUCUGUGUAAAUCAAAUUCACACUUCAGCAAAAACAGAAAAGAAAAUUGUAAAGUUGGGAACUUUUAUCCCAUCUUUGUGCCCUUGAUAGUGUUUUUCCUUUUUCUUUUUAAUCAAGCUCUUAUUAGGAUACUUUGCCGCUAAAGCUAAGCCAAAAAGAUUCAUCCACUUUGCUGUUGUGUUGUAAAUCACAGCAACUUACCCAAGUACAAUUUUGAAAAAGGAGAUGGGAAAUCAUAGACAAGAUUUGCUGAAUCCCAAGCCACAUAAUAUAUAUGUAUAUAUGAUUAUAAGUGAAUGAGUGAUGAUCCAAAGCCAUGGGAGACAAAAAUUGCAGGCACGCCUAUUAGUGCGUAAUCAUAGAAUUGUGAUCUCCACUAUUUUAUAUUGCUUUGCUGAUCAUCUCCUUCCUCCCCAUGUCCCUCAUAUCCCCUUUUGCUCUUGCCUGCGAUUGCAUCAUCUCUAGAGUCUUCUCUUUAUUUUAUUGGGUGAGGAAGUGGCUUUUGAGGUGGGACUUUAAACAAGAUUAUCUCAGGCUCCACAUUCAACAAGUCUCAUCAGUCUGUUCAUGGUAAAUAGCAGAUGCAUUAUAUCAAAGACUUGUGAAUAAAUCAAAGAGGAGGAAGGAGAGGGAAAAUGAUCUAAUUAACACCAUGAGUAAAAUCCUAGACAAUGUGUAGAGAAUGCCGGUCUCGAACAAGCUAUAUGAUUUUCAACCAACACCAUGAGCAAAAUGAAGUGAGAGAUAUUUAGGGACAUUCCAUUCUUUCCUUUUGCUACUUUUUCAGAUUGGAGGGACAGUUUGUCCUCUGUAAAUUGUAAUUUAUACCAUUUUUUACAGGAUUAAUAAAAUAUCCUAUGAUUGUGUUUCUCAUCAAUCAAAUAAAUGAGAAAUUAAUGUCUUUGUAUGAAGUUAAAAGUACCCUUAAUGAGGGAAAGGUGACCUAGUUGGAUUUGACGAUGUGCAACCAUGAAAAUGAUUGCAGGACUAUUUGGUUAAUGGGUAUCAAGGGAUUUGAUAUUACUCAACCGAACAACAUUUCGAGAACUAGAGUUGAAUGACAGAAUAAAUUCAUGUAGCAACCUCAAGUAGUAUGGGAUAAAUGUAAAGCAAAUAGCAGGUGGAAAGGUCUGGAAUUCAUCAUUUUGACUUCUUGAAACAGUUGUUUUCUUCAAAGUUCCAAAUCUGUUGUGGUAAUCGUGUCAUUUCCAAUCUUACUAGAUAGUACGUAACUUUGGCUCUUCAGAAAUUAUGAUCCCAUAAUUUUACAAAAUAUAGGCAUGAGAUAGGAAAAUUCACAGAAAAUGGAAUGGUUAAGCCUAUAUCCAGACUUAUAAAAAAAAUGGGGGAAUUGACAGGAUUGUGGAUUGAUGAAAUAUCAUAUGCAAAUUUAACGGAAGGUACAGCAUCAUCUAGUUUUCUUGGGGAUAACAAACCAAAGUUAUGCAAACAGAUCAGAUCUGGAAAAUUAUGAGAAAGUAGUAACAUUCAGAUAAAGAACAACACUAUUAGGGUUUAAUCAAAUAAAUGGCUUUUGAAUAAGUGAACUCACAUUAUGUCGCACCAAUAGCAACAAUGAAGUCAGUAGCAAACAUUUUCUUCUUCAUUCUUUCCAAGCAUAGGGAGCGCGGUCCACGACCAAAUAGUCUCCUCUGAUAUCCUUCACAACUCGAAUCUCAUCAUCAAGGUACACAGUGUCAAACCUAAAAUGUAACAGGUUAGACCAAUGAGAAGGACAUUAGUAGUGAAGCCUCAAAACUGUACAUGUCAAGCUGUAUUCCUGUUGUUCCGGUAGAUAAUAUUUCCUAUCACAGGUGUUGCGUUCCUGUCUUUCAAGGGUAAAUAGAAGUUAGAGAACUAAGGCAGACUGCAAAGUUUUCUCAUUUCUAGUUUUGAAAGAUAGACAACUAAAAAGUUGAAUCAGCAGUUUUCUUGCAGGAGAAAGAGAAAUGAUGAAUAUUCUGGAAGAAACCAGGUGCACAAGACAAUCAACAAGAUAUCACCUAUUAGAGGAAGAUAUAUUACUGCCUUGUGAGAGAAAAUCAAGCCUGAACAAUUAUGAAUAAAGUUAUUUCCCUACAAUCUAUGGUCUUGAAAAAAAACCCAAAGUUUAGCAACUCUCUGCCGGACAAUAAGCUGAAUUCCAAAAUUAGUCAUGCUACUUAAACCAACGACCUAAAGAAAUUAUUGAUAAUCCUUAACAAAUAGUAUUUAAAAUUGCUUCUACAAGCCAACAUUUGAUUCUGAUAUCAAGGAAUAGGCCUGAAACAAAUAGGGCAGGGCUCAAGUUAGUUUAUAUUCAUCUGAUAUUUGAGGCUGGUUUCAAGCACAUGGCACGCUCAGAUAAUAAGCAAGCUCACUUCCUACAUAAUAAGCGAGAUGGACAAGCAUGCUCCUUUAGUAGUUAAGUCCCAAAUUACAGAGUAAGCCUCUCUUUUCAAACAGUUCUAUGCUGCACCUCAAAAUAAUUAAAAAUAGAGAAAAUUAAAGAGGGCUCAUUCCAAGCAAACCAAGAAACUUGUGGGAAUUCAGUUCAGACAUUGUCACAAAAUUUAAAGGAAGUGCAGCUUUCAUAAAUAGAAAUGUCACCGGGAGGUGAGCAGUGAUGAGAAUAACCUAUUGUUGGCAGGAAGAAUCCUAAAGAUUUCCAAUCAUUGGCACUUGCAACUAAGUGAUUAUGUUCCCCCUUUAUUGAGGAGUUCUUGGGUUUAAAUCAUGGAAAGUGAGGGAUAGAAAGGCAGAAAGUUAUCCCACCUCUAUAGACUAUGGCCUGUCAUUGCUAUUUCCCAUUUGUUUCAAAAGGGUAGAAAAAUACCAGAAUGCACUUAUAAGUCCACUCUCAUAUAAUUUAACAGAACAAAGCAAGGAAACAAGCUAAUAGCUUACAUAAACAGAGACAUUGAAGAUGAAAUUAUAAAGGAAUUGAUAAACAGAGGCAAAUUAUCUCUGUUAAGUGAAUUUUAACAUUUCUAACUACACAAACAAAACCAGCAAUCACUUGGGUAUUUGUUAAUAUCACAAAAUAAAGCAAAAGAACUCACCAACCCUGCCCAAACGGUGGCAAUGGAAUCUCCCAAUUCUUCCCUCGUAGAACCGCACUUGUAAAUCUAGCACAACCCAACAUCACUAAUUACAAAGCAACACACCAAAACAUAAAAAUUAAUACAGAGAAAAAGAAAAAUUCCCAAAGUUUCAAUUUUUUAAAUUAUUUUUUGGUUCAUACUAGUACGAAAUACCAGUGCAUACUUAAAAUUGACUCUCUGCUUUGAAGCGACGGCGAUGUCAGAGCGGACGAAGAAGACCCCAUCUGGAGGAAAAGUGAUGACAUUGUUGAGAACCCUUUGCUCAACAUCGAUGACCUGCAAAACGUCGCCGGUUAGCGUGCCGAACAAGGAAGCGUUCUGGAUGAUGAAGAGCUGCUCCUUCUCUGUCGUCCAGAGCAGCCGCCAAGUGGCCGACAGCGACCCGCCGGUGGUGAUACUAUCUUUUCCCAGAGCAGCCAAGUCGUCGAUGGCGCUGACGAUUGAGGUGAGCUUUAAGGGGUUGUUCUGGGUCUUGAGGCCUCGGUCCUGAUCGGAGAUGAGGCUGAGGAGGUGCUGCUUGGCGAGCUGUGAUUGGGCUGUCGUGGAGGAGCAGGUGAUCUUAGCGGGGCGGGGGGAGUGGGGUUUGAAGGGGAUGGUGCCGAACGGGAGACACGUGGCCAUUUGAAUUUGGGGUUUUUGUGAGAGAGGGAAUGGUGUUGAAGUUUUGAGCUUUCGAGUUCAUGGCUGGUACUGGUAGUUGAGUUUUUGUCAACUGGAUAAUUGGCGGUUGAAACUUGAAAGGUUGGAAAUAAUUAGGAAUUCUUAUUUAAAAAAUGACGAAUUUUUACAAGGGCUUCAAAACUCUAAGGAAAGCUAAAAUCUUUUCAAUUUUGUAUGGUCCGGCCCAGAUAGAUUGCUAACCAUGGUCCAGUCUGAAUGGAGUUGAUGGAUUAAUACUGAUAAGGCCGGCCCAGAAAUGGUUUUUUUGUUUUGUUGAUACAAUCAAUCUAAUCUACGGGAAGUUUCAAAUUUGGGAGGAAGCAGGCCGGAUCACUGCCCUAACUAACUGGCUUAAUUCAUAUAUACAACUAGUAAAUGAGUUUAGGAAUCGUGAUGUAGUAAUGAGAAUUCUUCAACUCGAUCCCUUAACAAAACUCAAAACACCCUCUUGGACUACAAGAGAAUAACCAUUGUUUCUUACAAAUAGAGGUUUUGAUUCAAAGAGAAAGACACGCAACAUAAAUCAGUCUGACUUUACAAAUUUGUACAGUAAUUUUCAGCAUAAGAGUUAGUAAUCUGCUCUAGGAGUAGUAAUACUAGAAGCACCAAGUUUUUUUUCGCCUGGUUUAUCCAUCAAAUGAUCUGUUAGAGAUUUGAAUAUAAAUGACAGAAUUACAAAUUAGUGGACUAACAAAAACUUGGUGAAUAAACUUGGUGUGUGUAGCAUUACUCUUUAUUAAGCGACAAAUUCCUUACAAGUUGCAUACUUUCAUUUUUAGUAAAUAUAGAAAAAGAAUAGUCGCAUAUCUAAUGGUAUUUUUUUCUAUAGAAGAUCUAAUGGUCUUUAUUAAACUAGUAUUUUUGUUGUUGAGAAAUUGUGGGAUUGUAUUCAUAAUUUAGUCAAAUAAGCCAUUAACCACAAAGGGCCAUUAAAAUUACGGAGAAAUCCAAACUCAACAUUAAGAGAACCUGGUGUGCAUCCACUAAUGAUCAUGCAACUCUGGCAUAGGCAUCCCAAUUAAAAUUGUAAACUCAUAACAAUCGAAAAGAGAUAAAGCUUGGAAAAACCAAGUCAUAACGAUACAAAUAAAAACUCUCACAAAAGAGAUGUGAAAAACUCUCACAAAAGAAAAAAUCCAAAGAGAGUUUUGCGACUUAUCCCAAAAAUAAAGAAAUUAAACCAGUCAGAUUGCAACCUCGUUGUUACAAAACCAACUUAUUAUCCGCAAACACUAAAAGAUAACAAAUUUGUACCAAUCAACUUUCCUCUUCGACAAAUAAAGCACAUACACUGAAAAUGAUAGAUUCUCAUAAAUCUGUUAUAGAAUUACGUCAUAAACGAGUAAACGAAAUAGAGAAGAAGAUGAAGCUGGAAGGGGGAGCAAAGAGGAUGUGCAGGGGAGGAUGAUGAGAGAAAAGUAAAAACAGAAGAAGAUGGGACCAAACUCAUGGCAGUCACCACUCCCUUUUUGGGGUGGGGCUAGGAGUUCUCUCUCUUAAACUAGUUAAGAGUUUACUUUUCUCAUAAUAAAUAUUAUCCUUAGCAUAGCAGAUGGAGACGGAAGAACUCACCCUAAACUCUGAAAUCCAUGUGAUCACACGGAGGAUCAUGAUUGUGAAUUGGUGAUCUUUCUUUGUAUUAUAAUACAAUAUAAACUCCAAGGCAUGUGAGUUCUACAUAGCCAUACGUUCCAAUGCCUCGCUAGUUAUUGUACGGACUCACCAAGUCACGUGGCGUCCCCCAUUUCAUGACCCUUUUUUUCAUUUAUCAGCCAUUUCACGACUACUAGAAGAAUUAAUAUGAUUUUUUUAUUGUCUAAUCAAACAUAUUCAGAUAAUCUAUUUAAGAGCUUCUUCUUUGUUAUGAGGUUUUGGGCAAGAUUACCUCCCUCAUAACUUCAUUUAGUUAUCUUUUUAACAAAAACUUUUAGCAAUUGAUGCCAAGCCAACACAAUAUCAAAGCUUUUUGUUCUUAUUUUUUAAUAAACGAUAGUCGAAAAUAUAGAUGAGGAUAAUCGAACUUAAAUACAAAGAAGUAAACACAUUAUGUUGAUCAAGUGACACAAUACAAGUCUAUAACAUGUCAAAGUUAAGAGGAAAUUAUGCUUAUUAUUCUUUAGAUUGUUAUUUUAUGUUGUACGUUCUGAUGUUGUUAUAAUGCAGACGCUAGAUAUUUUAUACUACCUAUUUCUCUUUUCUCUCCUUUUACAAUGACGUCCACACGAUAAUAACGUCCAGACAUCCGAAUGAAAAAACAACUGAUAUAAAGAUUUAUAUACACACACACAAAUGUUGGAGUUUGAGGAUUCUUCUUAGAAUUGAAAUUUUUUGAACCCUUUUAAGCCCAUUGCAGAAAUUAUAACUUCAAAAAAUAUACAUAUAUUGAAGUCUUAGAGCAUCCACAAGAGAGGUGUAUAAUGGGGCGUAUGUUAAAUAUACACAUGUUGUGAUCGGAAUCACCCUCAAAGGAUGGGGGGAGGGGGUGUAAAUGAAUGUAUAAUUACAUCACCACCAUGAGAUGUAAAUUUAGAUGCAAUUGUACAUCUUUUUUUAUAUCUCUUGCGGGUGGAACCCAGCUGAGAAAAGUAAAGGAAAAAUAGAAAAAAGUAUUUACAUAUUUAGAUUUACAUCGUUUCUCAUUGAAGUAAAAAUCGUAUUUACACCAUCUGAAAGUGUAAAGAAAAUAUAAAAAUGACUUUACACCUUCCAAAAUACAACUCCCUCGCUGUGGAUGCUCUUACAAACAAUGGAAACGAAACGCAGAAGAAGAACAAAGUCCAAAGUUUGCAUGCAAAAGGGCCGUCUGAUCAGAGAAGUGUCUCCUAUCAAGGACGCAGAACAUGUGCCCAAAGCCGAUAUCUCACUUAUUAUUAAGUGAUGCGAGCCUGGCCCACAGCCCAUAUCCACCGACAUAGCCCAAAUUAAUAUACCCUUUUUUUUUUAAACUUGAUUAUUAUUAUUAUUAUUUUUUUCUAAAUUAAUUAAUUUCAUUUGAAAAUUGAGAGAAUCAGAAUCACUUGUCCAGAGAAUAUAUACCGGAGAUUGGCAGAAAUAUAUGAUGAUGGAUCAUUUGACGCCAUUAAUUAAAUAAUUAAUUGAAUUGUUUUUUAAUUAAUCAGGAUUAAUGAGCACAUGAGCAUGCACAUGCAUGCACUGUGGUGGGUUACUUUGAGAAAAGAAAAUGCGUUAAAUAUCGGGAUCACCAUUUUUGCUGUCAUAUAUGUCACGUGAUUCGAGGCAUCUCUCUCGCUAACACCAAAAGUCCCAAAAGCUUGCUAUAUCUUAAUUUAAUUUCCUACCAAUAUUAUAGAGCAUGGUUGAUGAUAUUAUCAAGGGAAUUCAUAUGGAAAGGUAAGAGGGAGCACAAAGAAAGGAUGAUGAUUUGCGUGGAAAUUUAUCUGUGAUUUACUAUUGGAGAUAAAAGAAGAUUACGCGAAAGAAAAAAAAAAAGAGUAAAGAAAUACGCUUUAAAUUUAACGUCUUUUUAGAAAAAAAGAAAACGAAUAUCAAACAUUGAUACAAUAUAUGUGUAAAAAAUUCCAUAGUAGAUCAACGAUUAGAAAUCAUCCACAAUCGUGCGGUGUCAAAAUCCUUCUCUUAAACUAGAUGCCACUCUAAAAAAUAAUUAAGGUAAUGUAACAUUUCGCAUGAAGAUGAGGGUGACGCGUAGGAAAAUCCAGGGUGGAUAUUUAAAAGCAUUUCCUCUCGAAAGUAAUGUGAUGUAUCAAGAGAAUCACGUCAGAUUAGGAAUCAAUCAAAACAAAAGGAAAGGAAAAAGGGCGACGUACUUUCCUCAUAACAAGUGGCGCACCGUACGGCUUGGUACUGUUUCUUGUGCAAAAUCUUUGGUUUUUCCCAUGCAACCCCCAAUAUAAAAAUGGUGGGCCCCCACCACCGCCACCUUCUGCUUCCAACACGUGGUUGCUGAUGAAGCCUAUCCUUUUUAUUAAAUCCCACAUAUUUAUAUAGGGAAGUGUUCAUUGUCUCCCGCAUUUGGAUAUCCAUCAAUUGUAGAUGUUCUCUUAAGAAAAAUAUGCAAGCAAUAAUCGCGUUUUGGGGGGACUUCCAUUAACUAAUGCAAGAGAUCCUUUUUUUCUUGAUUAAAUAAAUUAUAAUAUAUAAUGAGUGAGUGAUUCUAUUAUUAACAGUAUCGAGAUUUUUUGUGAUAAAAUUUUAUAUUUAUUAGACUAUAUAGGUAGUUUAGUUGAAAAUAAUAUUGGUGUUGCUAGUAGUGGACAGCUGACAUGUUUUUCUUUGAAAUUUAACAAAUAUCACAUACACAUGUGGGCGACUGUUCCAAACAUUCGUUUAUGUAAAUAUUAAUAAACUUUGAAAACAAAUUAUUGUGCAGAAGUGAUGUUCACUUCUUUAUUGUUUAGAUCAUUAAUCAAGUAGAUUAUGAUUUGAAUUAUAACAAUUUAGUUAUUUAGUAAGAAUUCAGUUGUUAAGAGUAUUUAUCCAUACAUAUUAGGUCUUAGGUUCGACUUUCUUCUUCCCAAUAUCAUAUUACAGUAUAAUUGUAAGAUCUCACAUCAACCAACGGAGAGGGGUGAUGUGCCUUAUAUGUGCACACCCGUAUCCAUCUAGCACGAGGCCUUUUGGGAGCUCACUGGCUUCGGAGUAGUAGGAACUCCAAAGUUAAGCGAGUUGGGGGCUAGAGCAAUCCCAGGAUGGGUAACCCACUGAGAAGUUGCUCGUGAGCUCCCAGAAACAAAAUCGUGCGGGCAGAGAGGGGGACCCAAAGUGGACAAUAUCGUGCUACGGUGGAGCCGAUCCCGAGGUGUGACAAUAAUAACAUAACAUGUUAGAUUCUCUCUAGAAUAAUAUUUACAUGGAUAGUAAAUUGAGCUUAGACCCACAAAAUUCAUUUUUAAUCACUUACAACCACUUCUUUUAUUUUUCUAUUUAAAUUACCCAUUUUUUUUCAAAUAAAACUAAUGACUAGGAUUCAAGUAAGCAAGUUACCUAAUAUAGCUUAAAAUCUGAUUUAUUCUAUUUUUCAGAUUCCAAAACUAUCCAUAUUUACAAGUUAACGUGUUAUGUGGGGGUGUAAUUAAUGACACACGUUGAAUUUGGAAAGAUAUUCAAAUUGUUGCAAUGGAUGUAGGAAUUAAUUUAGAAACUUGUUUGAAAUUAAAUAUAUUAAAUUCAACAUUAACGUAUUAGUAAUCGAAAAUAUAUUUGCUAACCACUUUAACUCAAGAUGUACCAUCACCGCCAUUCUCAACACUUGACAUAUGUCUCUUGGCAUAACCAGUGGCGGAGCUAGGAUUCUUAGUAUGCAGGGGCCAAAAUUUCAAAAUCACUUCUACUAGGUUUUUCAUCUUCAACUGGGAGGGCCAUCACUAAUCUAAUUGCAGUAAUUGUAUUACUAUAUCAUAUAUUUUAUAAUAUAUUACAAGAGAUUAAUAAUUAAGUGGGGGGGCCAGGGCCAUGGCAGGCCUGGCUGUAGCUCCGCCCCUGGGCAUAACCAUAGUUAACUUUUUACUUUUGUAUUCAUGCAAUCAUAGUUAUGUCAAUAGAUACGUGUCAAAUGUUGAAAAGAGUGGUGAGGGUACACCUUGGGUUAAAUUAAUGAGCAAAAAUGCUCUCAUUAGUAAUCUACAUGUGAUUAACGUUUUGGUUUAUUUAUUAAUUUUGUUGUUGUUGUUUUCCUUUUAUGAAUUAUAUUACUAGUAAUCUAUUUUAUUAUAGUUUUAUGAAUAAUAGUGUACAUUAUAAUUAUGUUGAAAAAUAUUUUUGAUAAUCUGUUUAUUAUUUAUUUUAUGAAAUAUAUAUUUUUUUAAAUGAACCUAUUUUUUCUCUGAAUAAUGUACCUAUUUUUUCCUCUAAAUAAUGUACCAUUUUUUCUCUAAAUAAAGUACCAUUUGUUUAUGAAAAACAAUAAUUUUUUUAAAUGAACCCAUUUUCUCUCUCCAAAUAAUGUACCUAUUUUUUUCUCUAAUAAUAUACCUAGUAAAAUAAUGUACGUAUUUUUAUAGAUGAACCUGUUUUUGCUCUCCAAAUAAUGUACCGAUACACAUUUAUAGGUAUAUUGUAAAAUAAUUUACCCAUGGGUAAAUACUGUACCUAUAUUUUCCAUAAAUUAUUGUGUACCUAUUUUUAAUUUUUGAAAAAUGUAUGGAAAUUUUAAUUACAAAAUAAUUGACUUCGUUUUUUAAUUAAUUUUUUGGGUAAAUAAUAUACCUAUAUUGCAUUUAAAUAAUAUAUUUAUAUUUAUGACAGUUAAUGAAAUACUUGAAAUAAAUUAUAAAUAAAACAUGAAGUUUGGCGGCAACAAUGUAAAAAUAUAGGAAUACUACGAUAUCUUAUAUUAUACUGAUCAUUUAAAUUUAAAAUUGAAUUUUAUAAAUAGAUUUAUAGAGUGAUGCCUAUAUAUUUAGGAAAUAGAAAAUGUAGAGAUCUAUAUUGAACAAGCCUAUAUUUUUAUAAUGAAAACUAAUAUAAAAUAAGAAGAAACGAUAUUGACAGCUGGGAAUAGCUGUCGGUGGUGGCCAUGCAUGUCCAUAUCUAUGGUCAAGUAAUACUAGAAGUGAAGAGAGGUAGUGGGGGUGGCGUCAGAGAGGGAUAAUUAAAAUAUUUAUAAAUAAAAAAUCUAAUUUUCUUCACGUCUUCUCUUCUCUUCCUCCCAGUCCUUCUUUCACAUUAUAAAGGCCACCCAACCCCGGCGGUGUCCAUUUCUCAUUUAUGUCCUCUGUCCCGACCCUCACCUAUAUAUAUAUAUAUAUAUAUAUAUAUAUAUCUCUCUCUCUCUCUCUUACCCUUGUAGGCUUCUACACUACACCUAUUCAAUUUUCAAAACACAUCUUUUUAUUAUUAUUAUAUAUAUAAAAAGAAAAGAUGUUCAAAAUUUAUUAUGCAAUUAUUAAUUUUAGCACCUCAGGGGUGGUUAGGUUCAUCAGAAAAUGCAUCUUAAAUUAGUAUUUCUUGGCCUCCAAUCCUCUAUCUUAAAAUAGUACAUUGAAAAAGAAAAAGCACUUGAGGACAAAUUUCAUCUUGUAUAAUAAGUCAUCGCAUAACCUGUCUAUUUUAAAAAGCAAUUGCACGUGAGGAACUAUAUAUUUCAAAUCUCUAUAUUUCAAGUUCAUUAGUUUUCCAACUUACGUACAUACAUAUGUUAGAAUUUGAUUUAUGUUUAUGCAUAUAAUGUGCAAAAUUUAUUGAGAUUACAAAUUUUUUAAUUUUUUUUUACAUACGUAUCAAAUAUUUUUAUCACCACUUUAACUUAAAGUGUAUUCUCACAACAACCAUUCUUAAUACUUGACAGGCGUUCAUAAACAUAACCAUAAUUAAUUUUUUACUUUGUAUUUAUGGAAUUAUGGUUAUAUAUAUAAACACAUGAAUGGUGGUGAGGAUAUAUCUUAAGUUAAAAUGGUAAGCAAAAAAUACGCUCUCUGUAAACUGGGAAAUUACAUCCAAUAAUUCACUUAAAAAUUUCUUUUGUUGUGCUUACCAAUUAUUUACUUAUUUUUUUGGCACUACCAAUAUUGAUCAUUGAUAGUUUGCAUCAAUUUAGGGACUGGAAUAAGCUUCGAACCAAGUGUCCACUUUGACUUGAGGGAAAUUCCCAUGUAUCUUCAGUCUGAGCUGGUAUAAAUAAAUUGACUUACCCUUAUUAAGUUAUUGUUUAUCCAAUUACUUGUGUUUUUAAGCUACCACCCACCUUAUCAUUUUCAGAUUAAUUGAGAAACAAGUCAGCUCGAAACCUAUGAGAAACAGACUGCUACAAGUACAAGGUGUCAAUGCCCUAUAUUUGUUUAUGGAACUUGUGAAGCUUUCUUCCUUGUGGAACAAAUGUUGCUAUUUCAAGUAUAAAUUGAUGGACUCAAUCUCCAUCAAUCCAGUUUGUGCUUACAGCUCAAUUCUUUGAUAAGGUUUGUUUUAAGUUGACGAUAUUUUUCACCUUAUUAUAAAGAUAGUAUUUUUACUCAACACUUUUAAUCAGUGACGAGCAUUACCACCACGUUAAUCACCGUUGAAUAAACAUAACGAAUCUAAAAAAUUAAACUCAUCCAACAACAGACAUUAAAAUGUAUAAUGUUCACUAUUAUGAAUGCACAACUUGCUGCAAUUCAGGUUACCCCUCUAGCAUAUAGCCUUACUGCUGUGUACAACUGUAAAUGGGUAGUGUUAUACAUAGGUUGCAUGAGUAGCCACGUGUUCAUGAUUGCAUGAAACCCACCAUACACUUGGCUGUUUCCAUAUUAGCAUCAUCAUCAUCAUCACCAUAAAUAAAUAAAUAAAAUAGCAAAAGCCAUUUUAUUUAUCCAUACUGGGGUUUGGAGGGUUGUAGAAGCACUGCUGGUGUGUUGUACUGGGCAGCACUAGUGUGCUUUCUGCUGCUCUCUCUGCACUGCCCUGCUCUCUGCUCAGACAAAAGAAAAAAACCCCAAAUUUAAAACACUCAUUUCUCUCUCUCUCUCUCUCUCUCUCUCUCUCUGCACGUUCCUCUGCUCCCUCUUCAAUCAAUAUAUCAACCCUCAUUCUUCUCUCUCUCUCUCUCUAAGAACAGAGCUGAGAGAGCAAGAGAGAACCAACAAACCCAUUUCUUUAAAAUCNNN
rnacentral:lncRNA from 1 species